CGCCCAAGUUCCUCAAGAACGGUGAUGCCGGGUUCGUCAAGAUGAUCCCCACCAAGCCCAUGGUGGUGGAGACCUUCGCUCAGUACCCUCCCCUGGGCCGCUUUGCUGUGCGUGACAUGAGGCAGACGGUUGCGGUGGGCGUUAUCAAGGCCGUGGAGAAGAAGGAUCCGACCGGCGCCAAGGUGACCAAGGCUGCGGCCAAGAAGAAAUGAGAUGGUGUCAGGUUCUUUACUGCAUCUAUGAUGGUGGUGGCGGUGACGGCAUUUGGUGGUGGUGAUAGUUGUUCUAGUCGUUUUGAAAACUUGUUAAGCUUCGGUUAUUUGUGUCGAGCAGUGUUGGAACUGCUUAUUGCUCUGGUCAUUGUAUCGUUCGGUUGUGUUGGUGGAACUUUGUCAGUUAAUGUUGCUACUAUAUAUAGUCAUCAUGUUUGGAGUCGUUUUAUGUCAGUUGAUCAUGUUUUUUUGUCUUGCAAAGUUGAAUUUCUGUUUCCUUUCUUAACUACGCACGACAAGGAGUGUGCUGAUGGUUUUUUAUCCUAUUCCUGUGCGUCCUUUACAGCCAGUGCUGAUGGUUUUUUAUCCUAUUCCUGUGCUUCCUCAGCCAGAAUAUUUCUUUUGUCUUAAGACUUUGCAGCCCGAUUUACUUGUGCUCUUUUCAUUUCUCUGCUUCUCCAAACCGAGUUUUCAGAGCUCUGAGUAGAUUAAUUUUGUUUCUUUUUUUGCGCUUUUUAUUAUAAUUAUGCAAGGGCAUGAAAAAUAUAUUCCCCCCUUUGGCCCUUCUGCUUACACACACACGAAGGCCGCCGAGGCGUUUGUUUUAUGAUUUUAUAAUAUUUUUUUACGGGAAUAUUUUCUUAUUCAUCAAAUGAUGUGAUACCGUUUACAAUCAGAGAAAUAAAAUCAGAGGCGGAUUAGGAUGAGGGACGAAACAGUGCGCUACUGCCUUUGGCAGAAACUUUACUAUCCCGAUGUUGACAUCUGAAAACACGAGUGUAGCGAUGUUAGAAUAGUUCUCAGCAUAGGAGAUUGCAUCAAUAACUAGAGAAGAAUCAGAUUCCGCAGUUUAUUGCAACCCAUUCUCAGAAAUUAUUGCAUAAUAGCGUUUCAGCAACUUCCGCAUCAGUUUAUUUUUAGGGUAAAAACUUCCGCAUCAUUUGUAUCAACCAGGUCACUGCGGCAAAAUGGCCCCAUUCAUCACGCAGAAUUGCUCCUUAGUCCCAUUCUUGUUUGCUUCGUUUGGGUUGCAAUUGGUUAAUAGGGUGUUAUCGGCGUAGUAGAAAAAAUGGGGCGACCCAUUUCGUCCGCUGGCGUCCGUUUGGGUCGGCGCGUUGACGCGUCCGCUUUUCGUCCGCAGGCGACCCAUUCCCGGCCCAUUUUUGAGCAGGAUUUGCGUCGGCGUGGACACGUGACGGACGCGCGCACGCUCGCCUUCUCCUUCCCCGUGCCCGCUGGUCGGUGGCACAUUGACCUUCCCCAUCCAACAGCAACCCUCGCCCGCCUCCUUCGUCGCGACGCUGCCGCCCAUUUUUGCCGGCGCCUCCACAUCCGCCCAGCAACGCUGCCCAUUCCCACGUCGCCCGCCACCGCCGUCUUGCCGCCGGGGAGCCGACUGCUUCACACCCCCGCGCCCCCCACCACACAGCCGCCCGUGACCAAGAAGCCGCCUCGCCGCCCCGGCCAGAUCCUCACCGGCACACUCGUCGGACGCCGACCCACUCGUCGGACGCCGGUAGGGCAGCUAGCUGGUCCGUGCGCGUUGCGACUCACUUCGCCGGCCGUCUCCUUCGUCGACGCCCGCAAGCUGUUCGACAGUUUGCCAAGGUACAAAGUGGACUCCGCCGACGAGUUCUUUUUUCACAAUUUCCUUUGCGACUCCGACGAUUCGUCGUCCGAUGACAAGGAGGAGAUAUUGGCUGCCGUGUUGGUCCAUCACCACCUCAACAGCUAGCGGUCGUUGUUCCGUGGCUCCAUUCCGGGCCACCUUCCGGCGUUGAAUCGCAACCGAGAGAGCAGGCAUUUCCUUCUUUGGAAGGACUACUUUGAUACAACAAACCUGUUGUUCAAACAUCAAAAAUUCCGCCACCGUUUCCGUAUGAGUAGGCAUCUUUUCAACCGUAUUAGAGAGGGGGUGGUCGGCUACGAUGACUAUUUUGAGUGCAAAGAGGAUACCGUUGGCAAGAUUGGUUUCUCCUCUUAUCAGAAAUGCACUGCCGCCAUCCGAAUGCUUGCAUACGGAGUGCCCGGUGAUCUCAUUGACGAGUACGUCCUUAUGAGCGAGUCUACAUGCCUAGUGUCCCUAUAUAAGUUCUGCAAGGCUGUUAUUGUUGUGUUUGGCCUUGAGUACUUGAGAGAGCCGACUGCUGAAGAUACAACCCGUUUGUUGGCGAUGAAUGCCAGCAGGGGCUUCCUAGGGAUGCUUGGCAACAUAGACUGCAUGUACUGGGAGUGGAAGAACUGCCCUUCUGCUUGGUAAGGGCACUAUAAGGGCCAUGUCAGGGCUUGCACUGUCAUACUAGAGGUCGUGGCGUCUCAAGAUCUCUGGAUCUGGCACUCUUUCUUUAGCAUGGCUGGAUCACACAAUGAUAUCAAUGUGCUUCAGCGCUUGCCGAUGUUUGCUAGGUUUGCCGAAGGCAACAGCCCACCGGUGAACUUUACUGUCAACGGCCACAACUACGACAAAGGAUGCUACCUGGGUGACGGUAUAUAUCCUCAGUGGACCACUAUUGUCAAGACAAUACCCAACCCUGUUGGAGAGAAGAGGAAAAUAUUUGCCCAAGAGCAAGAGAGUGCUAGGAAGGAUGUCGAACGUGCCUUUGGUGUUUUGCAAUCUCGAUGGGGCAUCGUUCGGUAUCCUGUUAAUACCUGAAGCACACAGAAACUGUGGGAUGUGAUGACUGCUUCUGUGAUCAUGCACAAAUAUGAUCAUAAGACGAGCGCCCGGAACGUCUGUAUGAUCAAGGGUUUCAGUUUCAGGGUGAGAAUGUUGUGCCUGAGCAUGGAGGAGCGGCAACGUUUGAACAGUUCACCCAAUUUCAUCAUGACAUGCGUGAUUGGGAAACUCACGUGCAACUGCAAAAUGAUUUGGUUGAGCAUAUGUGGGCUCAUGUUGGCAACCAAUAGAUGUAUCUUCUUUUAUCCGUUUGCAAAACUAUGUGAGACAUUUUUAUUUUUAUUCGGCUUGUAAAAUUAUGCUAUUUUAUUCGGUUCAAACUAUGUUAUUUGACUAUAUGUUUAAAUGCAAAUUCAUCAAUGGAAAAUUGAGCUACUUGUUGAAAUAGGGCGGCCAACUGGCCACACCGGUUGAUACGUCCAUUUUGCAUCAUGCUUUUAUAUCGAUAUUUAUUGCAUUAUGGGCUGUUAUUACACAUUAUGUUAUAAUACUUAUGCAUUUUCUCUCUUAUUUUACAAGGUUUAUAUGAAGAGGGAGAAUGCCAGCAGCUGGAAUUCUGGGCUGGAAAAGGAGCAAACAUUAGAGACCUAUUCUGCACAACUCCAAAAGUCCUAAAACUUCACGGGAGCACUUUUUAGAAUUAAUAAAAAUACUGGCGAACACAUCAUCCAGAGGGGGCCCACACCCUGGCCACGAGGGUGGGGGGCGCGCCCUACCCCCUGUGCGCGCCCCCUGUCUCGUGGGCCCCUGGCAGGCCUCCGGUGCCCAUCUUUGGCUAUAUGAAGUCUUUCGUCCUGGAAAAAAUAAGGAGGAAGCUUUCGGGACGAAGCGCCGCCAUCUCGAGGCGGAACCUAGGCAGAACCAAUCUAGGGUUCCGGCGGAGCUGUUCUGCCGGGGAAACAUCCCUCCGGGAGGGGGAAAUCGUCACCAUCGUCAUCACCAUCGAUCCUCUCAUUGGGAGGGGGUCAAUCUCCAUCAACAUCUUCACCAACACCAUCUCUUCUCAAACCCUAGUUCAUCUAUUGUAUCCAAUCUUUGUCUCAAAACCUCAGAUUGGUACCUGUGGGUUGCUAGUAGUGUUGAUUACUCCUUGUAGGUGAUGCUAGUUGGUUUAUUCGGUGGAAGAUCAUAUGUUCAGAUCCUUUAUGCAUAUUAAUACCCCUCUGAUUAUGAACAUGAAUAUGAUUUGUGAGUAGUUACGUUUGUUCCUGAGGACAUGGGAGAAGUCUUGCUAUAAGUAGUCAUGUGAAUUUGGUAUUCGUUCGAUAUUUUGAUGAGAUGUAUGUUGUCUUUCCUCUAGUGGUGUUAUGUGAACGUUGACUAUAUGACACUUCACCAUUUUUUGGGCCUAGGGGAAGUCAUUGGGAAGUAAUAAGUAGAUGAUGGGUUGCUAGAGUGACAGAAGCUUAGACCCUAGUGAAAGGAUCGAUAUAGUUGACUAGAGGGGGGGGGUGAAUAGGCAACUAACAAUUUUUAGUUUUUCUUUACCAAUUUAAACUUUGCAUCAAAGUAGGUUGUCUAGAUAUGCAACUAGGUGAGGAACCUAUAUGAUGCAACAACAAUAAGCAUACAUGCAAGCAAGAGAUAAAGCACAAAUAAGCUUGCACAAGUAAAGGCACGAGAUAACCAAGAGUGGAGCCGGUGAAGACGAGGAUGUGUUACCGAAGUUCCUUCCCUUUGAGAGGAAGUACGUCUCCGUUGGAGCGGUGUGGAGGCACAAUGCUCCUCAAGAAGCCGCUAGGGCCACCGUAUUCUCCUCACGCCCUCACACAAUGCGAGAUGCCGUGAAUCCACUAUUGGUGCCCUUGGAGGCGGCGACCGAACCUUUACAAACAAGGUUGGGGCAAUCUCCACAACUUAAUUGGAGGCUCCCAACGAUACCACGAAGCUUCACCACAAUGGACUAUGGCUCCGUGGUGACCUCAACCGUCUAGGGUGCUCAAACACCCAAGAGUAACAAGAUCCACAAGGGAUUAGUGGGGGAUUCAAAUUUCUCUUGGUGGAAGUGUAGAUCGGGGCCUUCUCAACCAAUCCCUAGAGAAUCAACAAGUUUGGUUGGCUAGGGAAGGAGAUCGGGCGAAAAUGGAGCUUGGAGCAACAAUGGAGCUUAGAGGUGAAAGAGGUGGUCAACUAGAGGAGGAAGACACCCCUUAUAUAGUGGAAGAACAAAUCCAACCGUUAUCCACCAACUCAGCCUGCACAGCGCGGUACUACCGCACCUGAGGCGCGGUACUACCGCAGGGGCACGCGGUACUACCACACCUGAGGCGCGGUACUACCGCAGGGGCACGCGGUACUACCGCAGAGCCCCGCGGUACCACCGCCCACGUAGCAGAGACCAGAACAGCCACACAUGCACUAAGGCAGAGGGCGGUAGUACUGCUGGCGCGGUACUACCGCUCCCCCUUGCGGUACUACCGCAAGGCAGGGGCUGUCCAGGGAUGGGAAGGCACGGAUAUAAAAAAUUACAUCCGUGGCUACUUCCGCGGAGUUGGAGUCAAUGCAAAAACCCGACGCAGUAGUACCGUAAGUCAGCCGCGGUACUACCGCGCGAGGCGCGGAUGUAAAAAAUUACAUCCGCCCCUUACUGCCGCGUACUUGCGGAACUAAGCGGGGACCACGGUACUACCGCUUACUAGAAGCGGUACUACCGUGGGACCUUGCGGUACUACCGCACCAGCGGGCGGUACUACCGCAAGGUCCUGCGGUACUACCGCUCUAACGAGCAGUACUACCGCACCCCCUAGUUCGGCAAACAAGAGCAAUAUUUGCAUAGACAAGGAAAACAUAGGAUGCUCCAAAGGCUAGAGGAAAGAAAGUGCAAAGGAAGAUGUGUACGUGAUGAAUCCACCCAACCUUUCCAACGCGGACCCCCUCUUAAUAGUACGGCUUCCCUACGACUCAAUACCAUCGAAAAGAGCUGAAGAGAAACGCCAUCUUCUAUAGCCUUCGAGGGGAACCCAAUCAUCUUGUGCCUAGUCAAUAUAUCUGAAAUAUUCGAUGCACAUGAUUAGUCCGCAAAAGCAUUGUCAUCAAUCACCAAAACCAACUAAGGGAUAAAAAUGCCCUUACAAUCUCCCCCUUUUUGGUGGAUUGAUGACAACACGGGAUUUGCACGAGGGUAUAACACAAAGAGCAAGGGCAAACCCCAAGUCUCUAAAGUAUAGACGGGCUCCCCCUAGAUGUGUGCUAUCUCGAUGAGUGCUUUGGACUGCACGGCGCACAUACUAGGAUCAACACUCCCCCUAUAUUUUACAGACAUGGCAAAUCUUGCAAUAAGGCUAAAGCUAAGCAAGAUAGACAGGAGCAUAAUGUAAUAAGCACAAGAUAGAAUAAGCUCACUACGGUGCGAUAGAGUGCAUAUGUCUUACACCAUAUGAUAGAAGGUCUCACGAGCACAAACCAAAGCAAACAAAAUAAACGAAGUUCAACUGACCCAAACAUGACACAACUCGCAAAUCCUACACUCUCUCACCCUUUGGCAUCGAGACGCCAAAAAGGCAGAGAGGACACCUACAGCAAUAGUGGUGGCUCAAGCGGAGUAGUCACUUGCACGCUCCUCGUCAGACUCUGCAGUUGGGACGGACUCCUCCUCAGACUCGGUCCACCGAUAACCCUGCUUGUGCAACCAUUCUGCCUCUGGGGUGAUGUUCACCUCUGACCCGCUAGAAAUGUUCUCGCCAAAGGUCCUGAAAAUCCGCUUGUCACGACGGCGAGUCUCCUUGGAAGCCACAUGGGUCUGGUACUGCCCCUUUGCUUGCAUACAGAACAACAUCUUCAUCUUGUUCUUCAGUCGCUUAGCCCAAGAAGGCUCAGAGGUGGGAGGGAUGUAACCCUCAGAGCUAUCCUCGUCUGCUGCCUCCUCCUCAUCCUCAUCUGCAUCCACGUCCAUGGCAGCCGCAGUAUCAGCACGAGAGGUAGUGUUGGCCCACUGAGGCUUGAUACAGAGGUUGAUGGGCUCAUGCCGGAUCCAGCCAGGGGCCUCAAACUCAUCCUGAGGGUAGACCCGCUCCCAGGUAGCCGAGAUCAACUGAAACAGAUAAUGUCCAUAGAUGGGGACCUUGCGGUUGUAGACCGCAAAGCGAAGCUCAUGCCACAUGAUAUGAGAGACAUCAAGUGGUGGUGUCUGAGAGUUGCGAGCAUCUUCACACAGGAGCAUCAUAUCCACAAGAUAGGCAUGCACCUUGUCCUUGUCCCCAAUGCGUGGGAAGAGAGUGUUGCGGAAGAUCCGGUGCAUGAUGUCAAGAAAGGAGUUGAGUACCCAAGAUGACUUGCCAUUGGAGAGCCUCUUCUCCACAUAGUAGGGCAUAAGCUUGUUCUUGUUGGCAGACUCGGGAUUGGCAUGAGGGCGAACACCUUGGGGUGUGGCGAGCCCCUCAUCCGGAACCCCAAGCAAGGUCAUGAAUUCUUUCUAAGUAGCAGUCAGCUGCCGACCAUUGGUCAUCCAAGUCAUGGUCCUUUCCUCAUUGGGAUGAAAAUGCACUGAGGCAAAGAACUGAGCAAGGAUCUCAGGAUCAUAGUCUUUGUGGAAUGAGAUGAUAUGCUCAAUGCCAAAUUGCUCCACUAGGUCCAAAGCCUCACCAAAGUAUUCUCGGUGCGCCUCUUUGCGCAUGUGAUGCAUGUUGAUCCACUUCACCUCCACAUGGAUAUUUAGCUUGGCCUUGAUGACAUCCAGAUAGAUGAGAUUCUGCUGCUUGGUCCAGAAUAGAUCAUUCCCUCGAAAGUUAGCACGAGGGUUUCCAUACGAAUUGAUCUUCCUCCGAGAGAUGAACUCAGCAAGCGGUAUCUCAUCCAUACCCUUGGCGGGGUCCUUCUCUUUGGUGACAGUGGUCUUGGUUCUGUGUUGGGGGGCAUUGGAGCCCUCUGCUUCCUCUGUGUUGCGCAUACGCUUGGACCCCGUGUCACGGCUUGGAUUGGAGCGGCGAGCUGGAGCACCUGAGCCACCACCUAAAACACACACCACAAAACAAACACGCACGAAACACGAGAAGGAUCAAUGCAAAGACCACAGCAAAGCAGGUGAAACAAGUAGACAUGGCAUGUGAGAAGUGCCACAAGAGGGAUUUGAGACAAUGGUAAUAUCGUGUAUUGCGCCACUUGCGGUAGUACAGCUCCAAGGAGCGGUAGUACCGGACGUGCGGCAGUACCGCACUAGCAGGGCGGUAGUACCAGACGUGCAGUACUACCGCACCAGCAGGGCGGUAGUACCAGACGUGCGGUAGUACCGCACCUGGAGAGCGGUAGUACCGCACGGUGCAGAUCUGAAACAGCCAUGGAGAUCUGAGCACAACCGUGUCAACACGCGGUACUACGGUCGACCAAAUCCAUCACGGGACAACUAUAGCAAGUACCAUCACUACACAAAACUGCUAUCCUACAUCCUACUCUUGCAUAGAUUUGGCCUAAAAUCUCAAGAACAACUUGCAUCUCCCCAAAACCUAAAAACAACAAGACGAACAAGAAAAAGGGAGGGAUUGGGGAGAAACCUUGUUCCAUGGCAAGAGGGAGUGGUGGGGAGCGAUCACACCGGUCGGAAUCCGAGGAGAGCGGCCGAAGACGGAGAUCCGGCGAGGACCUCCGGCGCCGUUCUUGAGAGAGAGAGAGACGGAGUGGGGAGAGAGACGAAUGGGUAUGGGGGAUUUAGAACUCCCCCUGCCUGUGUUUAACCCCCACACGCCCUCGACCGCACGGUAGUACCGCACGUCAUCGCGGUACUACCGCCCCGGGCGGAAGUACCGCACCGUGACUAUAGUACCGCUCCCCCAGGCGGCAGUAAAAAAUUACUGCCGUGCUGGGUGCGGUAGUACCGUGCACUCCUCACGCGGUAGUACCGUACGUCAUUGCGGUAGUACCGCCCCGGCGGAAGUACCGCACCGAGGCCGUAGUACCGCUCUUCCAGGCGGCAGUAAAAAAUUACUGCCGCGCUGGGUGCGGUAAGUACCGCCAGGGCGGAAGUACCGCACCGAGGCCGUAGUACUGCUCUUCCAGGCGGCAGUAAAAAAUUACUGCCGCGCUGGGUGCGGAAGUACCGCACGCCCCCCCUUGCGGUAGUACCGUGGUAGGCCACGGUAGUACCAUGAGCUCAAGAAAACAUAGUUUCAACCAAAAGAGAGGACACCGAAGCACGGAACCUUCAAGCGAGAGACCACACCAAAGAGCUAACACACUGGACACCACAAGCACAAGCUCGUCACAAAGGAAGAGAGGCAAGAGACAACACAGACCAAAAACGAGACACAAACUCUCCAAGGAGAGGGCGGUGGCCGGAGCCACCUAUGUUUGAGUCAAUUGGUAUGGCACCGCGAAGAAUUAUCCUUGGGCCCAUGACCAAAACUCGUCUUUGAAGCACAAGUACCAUAAAAAAUGGCUAAUGUGAAAGAGUUGAUCACUUUAUGCAUAAUGGGGGAGGGAGAGUUCAUUGAGAGAGAAACACUCCCCCUAUGUCCAUGCCUACACCUAGAUUAGACAACAAGUUGAGUGUGGUGGGGUGUGCAAGGGUUCAAGCAACAUUGCUCGAAUCAAUGAUAUUUAGCUCAUGCCUUAACUCGCGAAAUCUUGCUUCAUCCAAAGGCUUCGUGAAAAUAUCUGCAAGGUUAUCAUGGGUGUUGACGUAGUUGAGCUCGAUCUCCCCUCGCCUAAUGUGAUCUCGGAUGAAGUGAUACAUAAUAUCAAUAUGCUUCGUCUUGAAGUGUUGCACGGGGUUGAGAGAAAUCUUGAUGGCACUUUCAUUAUCACACCAAAGAGGCACUUUGUCACAAAUGACACCGUAAUCCUUUAAAGUUUGCCUCAUCCAUAAGAGUUGUGCACAACAACUCCCGGCCGCCACAUACUCCGCUUCGGUGGACGAGAGAGACACACAACUUUGCUUUUUCGAAGACCAACUUACCAAAGAGCAACCAAGGAUUGGCACCCUCCGGAAGUGGACUUCCUAUCCACUUUGUCUCCCGCCCAAUCGGAGUCCGAAUAUCCUACAAGCUUGAAGUUUGCUCCUCUUGGGUACCAUAAGCCAAAGUUUGGGGUAUGAGCCAAAUAUCUAAAGAUUCGCUUGACCACCACAAAGUGGCUUUCCUUAGGUGCGGCUUGAAACCGUGCACAAAUUCCCACACUCAACAUGAUAUCCGGUCUAGAUGCACAAAGAUAAAGCAAGGAACUAAUCAUGGAGCGAUAUACCUUUUGAUCCACCGCUUUACCAUUGGGAUCGAUGUCAAGUUGGCACUUGGUGGGCAUUGGAGUGGACGCCGGCUUGACAUCACUUAGCUUGAAUCUCUUGAGCAUGUCUUGAGUGUAUUUGGCUUGGUUGAUGAAGGUUCCUUCUCUUCUUUGCUUUACUUCGAAACCGAGAAAGAACUUCAACUCUCCCAUGGAAGACAUCUUGAACUUUGAGGUCAUGAGUGCGGCAAAUUCCUCAUUGAAAGCUUUGUUAGGAGAACCAAAGAUAAUGUCAUCAACAUAUAGUUGGCAUACAAACAACUCCCCUUUGACCUUCUUAGUAAAAAGAGUGGGGUCGAUUAGCCCAACUUCAAACCCACGAUCUUGUAACAACUCGGUAAGGUGGUCAUACCACACACGUGGAGCUUGUUUAAGGCCAUAGAGUGCCUUAUCGAGUUGAUAAAAGUAGGGAUCCUCGAACCCGGGGGGUUGCUUGACAUAAACCAACUCAUUAAUAGGACCAUUAAGAAAAUCACUCUUCACAUCCAUUUGUUGCAACUUAAAGUUGUGAUGAGAAGCAUAAGCAAUCAACAAAUGAAUAGAUUCAAGGCGAGCAACGGGAGCAAAGGUUUCACCGUAGUCGAUACCCUCGACUUGGGAGUAGCCUUGUGCCACCAUUCGUGCCUUGUUGCGGAUGAUGGUCCCAUGAGCAUCUUGCUUGUUCUUGAACAUCCACUUGGUUCCAAUGACAUUGUGGUUCCCCGUUGGCCUUGGCACUAAUCUCCACACCUUAUUGUACUCGAAGUUGUUGAGUUAUUCAUGCAUGGCAUUAAGCCAAUCCGGAUCUUCGAGUGCUUCAUAUACCUUUUGGGGUUCAACACAAGAGACAAACGCAUGAUGUUCACAAUAGUUUGCCAAUUGUCUACGAGUGCUUACCCCCUUUUGAAUGCUUCCAAGCACAUUAUUCAUGAGAUGACCCUUGGUGGAGAGCUUGGAUGCAAUCUUGGCGGCACGACGCUCCAAUUCCUCCUCGGUGGUGAGUUGAGGAGUGGUCACUUGAUCAUCUUGAGCGCCGUCUUGAGCUUGUUCUUGAUCUUAAACUUGCUCGGGGGAGAGAACUUGACCUUGGGCAUCACUUGGUGUGUCAACACCGUCUUGAGCAUGAUCUUGCCCUUGGUCUUGUUCAUGAGGUUGAGGGCCUUCACUUUGUUCUUCGGAAGCGUGUGGGCCUUGGGUUGGUGAUGGCUCCACUUGAGUGGAGCAUUGUCCUUCUCCUUCGGCCACAAGGGGUUCCUCAAUGGGUAGGAUAAAACCAACACCCAUUCUUCUUAUGGCUUGAGGAGGAAUUUCAUCACCUACAUCACAAGUGCCACUUUGCUCCACUUGGGAGCCGUUAUUCUCAUCAAACUCCACGUUACACGUCUCCUCAAUAAGUCCCGUGGAUUUAUUGAGGACACGGUAAGCAUGAGAGUUUGUAGCAUAACCAACAAAUAUGCCCUCAUAAGCUCUAGCCUCAAAUUUAGACAACCGAACACCUUUCUUGAGAAUGAAGCACUUACACCCGAACACCCAAAAAUACUUGAGGUUGGGCUUGUUACCGGUGAGAAUCUCAUAUGGAGUCUUGUUCAAGACCUUGCGGAGGUAGAGCCGAUUGGAUGCAUGACACACGGUGUUGAUGGCUUCGGCCCAAAAGUUGUAUGGAGACUUGAACUCCGCCAUCAUGGUCCUUGCCGCAUCCAUCAACGUUCGGUUCUUCCUCUCCGAAACACUGUUUUGUUGAGGGGUGUAAGGUGCGGAAUAUUGAUGCUUGAUCCCCUCAUCACUAAGAAACUCAUCCAAGGUGUAGUUCUUGAACUCGGUGCCGUUGUCACUUCUUAUUGUCAAGAUCUUUGCAUUGUGUUGACGUUGAGCUUCAUUUGCAAAGUCAAUGACGGUUUGUUGGGUCUCGCUCUUCCUCUUGAAGAAAUACACCCAAGUGUAUCUUGAAUAGUCAUCCACAAUCACCAAGCAAUACUUCCUACCCCCAAGACUAUCAAAAGAUGGAGGCCCAAAGAGAUCCAAAUGAAGGAGCUCCAAAGGCCUCUUCGAGUAAAUGAUAGUCGUGGGAGGGUGAGCCUUCUCAUGUAGCUUUCCUUCGAUACAAGCACUGCAAGCACGAUCUUUAGCAAAACUAACAUUCGUUAGUCCACGGACAUGGUCCCCCUUGAGAAGACUUUGCAAAGAUCUCAUAUUGACAUGGGCUAAACGGCGAUGCCAAAGCCAUCCCACGUCAACUUUAGCCAUUAGGCAUGUCGCGGUCUUAGUGGGUCGCUCCGAAAAGUUAAUCACAUAGAGACCGUUCUCGACAUGCCCAACAAAGGCUACUUUAAGUGUCUUGCUCCACAAGAGGGCCACGGUAUCAAUAUCAAGAAAGUGGCAAAGCCCAUGAUUGCAAGUUGACGAACGGAAAGUAAAUUGUAUGCAAGGGACUCAACAAGCAUGACCUUCUCGAUCGUGAGAUCAUGAGAAAUGACAACUUUGUUGAGUCCCAAUACCUUAGAAGACGAGGCAUCACCCCACUCGACAUUGGUGGGCAUAGAUGGAAUCUUGUGCACGUCCACCACCAAGUCCUUGCUUCCGGUCAUAUGAUUUGUAGCUCCACUAUCGAGCAACCAUGAUCCCCCACCGGAAGCAAACACCUACAAGAGAUCAAUGCUUGGUUUUAGGUACCCAUUUUGUAAUGGGUCCUUUGAUGUUAGUAACAAGGGUCUUAGGAACCGAAAUAGACCAUUCAAUAUACUCAUGAGGAGAACCAACAAAUUUGGCAUAAACAUGCCCAUCACUAGCACGACAUAACACAUAAGAAGGAUUAAAGUCGCCGGCUUUGUUGGAAGGGGUGGCAUUGCCCUUCUUGACACCGCCACCCUUUGCAUUGUUCUUCUUCUCCUUGGAAGCACUCUCUCCCUCCUUCACAAAAGUUUGCUUGAGAGGAGGAGGUCGUUUGGUCUUGUCAUUCUUCUUCUUGUUCUUGGGAUUGGGUGCGAACCCAAUCCCCUCCUUGGCCACAACUCCCUUUUGAUUGCUCAAAAGGUCGUUGAGGUUCUUCUCACCUUGUAUGCAUGACACAAGGCCUUUCUCAAGUUGCUCCUUCAACUUAGCAUUCUCCUCAACAAGAUGCACAUGCUCACAACAAGGGUUAGUAGCAUUUGCAUUAUCAAUUAACACCAUAUGAGGAAAGGUGGCUUUCUCCUUAGUUAUCUUCACUUGGAGUUGAUCAUGAGACUCCUUGAGGCUAGCAUGAACACCCUUCAAGACUUUGUGAGCCUUGUCGAGAAUGUCAAACUCCUCUUUGAGUCUAGCAAGAUCAACCCCAAGCUUUGCCUUCUCGGAGUUUAGCACACGAGACACAACAAGAGCAUGAUCAAGAUCUUUCUUUAACUUAGCAUGAUCAUCGUUGUGUGACUCCUCAAGAGCCAAACGAAGACCACGCUCUUCGUCAAGAGCAUUGGAAAGAUCUGAAAUCUCAUCGGCAUAGUCACGACUAUGCCCCUCCAUCUUAGAGAUGGUAUCUUCGUGAGCCUCAAUCAUGUCGUUGGCUUCACCAAGUUGUUCCAAGAGAGCAACAAAGUGCUUCUUGGAUUUACCCUUGAGUUUACCCAUAAAGGUCUCAAACUCAUUCUCCUCCACAUUUGUCCCCUCAUAUUCAUCAAUACUAUCCGUCGAAGAAGGAUGAUUAAUGAUGGUAGUUUUGAUGUUGGGGGUUACCUUGUUGGUGGCUUUAGCCAUGAGGCACUUGGCGGUGAUGUUCUCAUUGGGUGAGUCGAAGAGAGACAUCCGUGGAGUCAUCGCAAUGGCAACGGAGGCCAUGGCAACCGACUCACCAUCUUCAUCAUCGUCAUCAUCCUCAUUGUACUCUUCUUGUACCACCAAUGCCUUGGGAGGAGUCUUCUUGGUGAAGUUGCUCUUGUUGUGGAACGACUUGGCCUUGUCCUUUCGGAUGAGCUUGCCACCAUUGUCUUCCCUCUUCUCGUAAGGGCACUCAGCAACAAAGUGGCUCACAUUGCCACAAUUGAAGCAAGUCCUCACUCGUUGCUUGCCCUUUGCGCCACUUGAAUUGUUCUUGUUGAAGUUUGGCCUUGAGUUCUUCUUGCUCCAAAAUUGCCUUGAAGCAAGAGCCAUGUGUUCAUGAUAGGCAUACUUCGUAUCUUCGAGGUUGCUCUCCUCUUCUUCCUCUUCAUCCUCUUCCUCCAUACUCACCUUGUCCUUUAGCGCAAGGUUGGGCUUCUUUACUCUUUGAGAGCGAAGAACCGCAUUGUCGGCGGUCUUGUCCAAGAUGCUCAUAGCAACGAACUCAUCCAACACUUCACUUGAGGACAAGGUGUGGAAGUCCGGCCUUUGACGAAUGACGGAGGACAUGGCUUUGUGGUAGGGCAUCAUUGCCUUGAGGAAUUUGCGCUUGAUCCAAUUGUCAUCCCUGUCCUUACUUCCAUGAUCUUGGAGAGAGACCGCGAGUUUGGUUACUCUCCGAUAAAGCUCACGAGGUUCUUCAUCUUGUUUCAUUGCAAACUCAUCGGCUUCAUCUUGCACCACUUCAUAGUUGGAGCGUUGAAUGCUUACGCUUCCCCGAUAGAGGGAAAUCACUUGUUGCCAAGCAUCUUUGGCAAUGGUGUAGGGCCGGAGAUGAGGAAGAUCUUCGGGUGGGAUUGCUUCUUGGAUGAUGAAGAGAGCAUUCUCAUUGAAUUGAUGGUCCACGACUUCUCUAGGAGUGAAUUUGCUUUGGUCAUGCGGAUAGAAACCUUCUUCAAUGAUUCUCCAAAGGUUAGUGUUCACAUGAUUUAAAUGACGCUUAAAACGAUAGACCCAAGAAUCAAAUUCUACAUUCUUCUCAAUCUUAGGGGCCGGGCCGGCAUGAUUCAAAUGAGUGGAAGGAAGCGGUCCACCAUAGACAAGUGGAGGUUCCACAUGGGCAAAGAUGCCGGUGCCAUUUUUACCACUAGAAGAAGGAGCUUUCUCGCUAGUAGCUUCCCCCUUGUCGGAGGUAGCAUCCGUCACCUUGUUAGCGGGAUCACCCACUUUCAACGGUGCGGUGGAAAGUUUAAGCCCUUCUAAGAAUUUAUUAAACAUGCUUUCGACCUCGGUCGUCAUGGAGGUUUUCAAUGUGUCCAACGCCACAUUGAAUUCCUCACGAGAGACCGCGGUUCCCCCAUCUCCCGUAGACGAGACCGGAUUCACGCCGGAGUGCUCCUCCACACCGUCUACGACGUCAACCAUACUCUUCGGCCGGUAAAGUCCUUAAUAAUGAGACGAGGCUCUGAUACCAAUUGAAAGGAUCGAUAUAGUUGACUAGAGGGGGGGGGGUGAAUAGGCAACUAACAAUUUUUAGCUUUUCUUUACCAAUUUAUGUUGGAAAUAUGCCCUAGAGGCAAUAAUAAAUUGGUUAUUAUUAUAUUUCCUUGUUCAUGAUAAUUGUCUAUUGUUCAUGCUAUAAUUGUGUUAUCUGGAAAUCGUAAUACAUGUGUGAAUACAUAGACCACAACAUGUCCUAGUAAGCCUCUAGUUGACUAGCUCGUUGAUCAACAGAUAGUCAUGGUUUCCUGACUAUGGACAUUGGAUGUCAUUGAUAACGGGAUCACAUCAUUAGGAGAAUGAUGUGAUGGACAAGACCCAAUCCUAAGCAUAGCACAAAGAUCGUGUAGUUCGUUUGCUAGAGCUUUUCCAAUUGUCAAGUAUCAUUUCCUUAGACCAUGAGAUUGUGCAACUCCCAGAUACCGUAGGAGUGCUUUGGGUGUGCCAAAAGUCACAACAUAACUGGGUGGCUAUAAAGGUGCACUACGGGUAUCUCCGAAAGUGUCUGUUGGGUUGGCACGAAUCGAGACUGGGAUUUGUCACUCCGUUUGACGGAGAGGUAUCUCUGGGCCCACUCGGUAAUGCAUCAUCAUAAUGAGCUCAAAGUGACCAAGUGGUUGGUCACGGGAUCAUGCAUUACGGUACGAGUAAAGUGACUUGCCGGUAACGAGAUUGAACAAGGUAUUGGGAUACCGACGAUCGAAUCUCGGGCAAGUAACGUACCGAUUGACAAAGGGAAUUGUAUACGGGAUUGAUUGAAUCCUCGACAUCGUGGUUCAUCCGAUGAGAUCAUCGUGGAACAUGUGGGAGCCAACAUGGGUAUCCAGAUCCCGCUGUUGGUUAUUGAUCGGAGAGUCGUCUCGGUCAUGUCUGCAUGUCUCCCGAACCCGUAGGGUCUACACACUUAAGGUUCGGUGACGCUAGGGUUGUAGAGAUAUUAGUAUGCGGAAACCCGAAAGUUGUUCGGAGUCCCGGAUGAGAUCCCGGUCGUCACGAGGAGUUCCGGAAUGGUCCGGAGGUGAAGAAUUAUAUAUAGGAACUCCAGUUUCGGCCACCGGGAAAGUUUCGGGGGUUACCGGUAUUGUACCGGGACCACCGGAAGGGUCCCGGGGGUCCACCGGGUGGGGCCACCUAUCCCGGAGGGCCCCAUGGGCUGAAGUGGGAGGGGAACCAUCCCCUGGUGGGCUGGUGCGCCCCCCUUGGGCCUCCCCCUGCGCCUAGGGUUGGAAACCCUAGGGGUGGGGGCGCCCCCCACUUGGCUUGGGGGGGAAGCCACCCCUUGGCCGCCGCCCCCCUGGAGAUCUGAUCUCCCAGGGCCGGCGCCCCCCCAGGAGGCCUAUAUAUAGGAAGGGGGAGGGAGGGCAGCCGCACCACAGCCCCUGGCGCCUCCCUCUCCCUCCCGUGACACCUCUCCCUCCUGCUUGCGCUUGGCGAAGCCCUGCCGGGAUCCCCGCUACUUCCACCACCACGCCGUCGUGCUGCUGGAUCUCCAUCAACCUCUCCUUCCCCCUUGCUGGAUCAAGAAGGAGGAGACGUCACUGCUCCGUACGUGUGUUGAACGCGGAGGUGCCGUCCGUUCGGCGCUCGGUCAUCGGUGAUUUGGAUCACGACGAGUACGACUCCAUCAACCCCGUUCACUUGAACGCUUCCGCUCGCGAUCUACAAGGGUAUGUAGAUGCACUCCUCUCUCUCGUUGCUAGAUGACUCCAUAGAUUGAUCUUGGUGAUGCGUAGAAAAUUUUAAAUUUCUGCUACGAUCCCCAACAGUGGCAUCAUGAGCAAGGUCUAUGCGUAGUUUCUAUGCACGAGUAGAACACAAAGCAGUUGUGGGCGUAGAUGUUGUGAAUUUUCUAGCCACUACUAGUCUUAUCUUGUUUCAGCGGCAUCGUGGGAUGAAGCGGCCUGGACCGACCUUACACGUACGCUUACGUGAGACAGGUUCCACCGACUGACAUGCACUAGUUGCAUAAGGUGGCUAGCGGGUGUCUGUCUCUCCCACUUUAGUCGGAACAGAUUCGAUGAAAAGGGUCCUUAUGAAGGGUAAAUAGAAAUUGGCAUAUCACGUUGUGGUUUUACGUAGGUAAGAAACGUUCUUGCUAGAAACCUAUAGAAGCCACGUAAAAACUUGCAACAACAAUUAGAGGACGUCUAACUUGUUUUUGCAGCAUAUGCCUUGUGAUGUGAUAUGGCCAAAAGGAUGUGAUAAAUGAGAUAUAUGUGAUGUAUGAGAUUGAUCAUGUUCUUGUAAUAGGAAUCACGACUUGCAUGUCGAUGAGUAUGACAACCGGCAGGAGCCAUAGGAGCUGUCUUUAUUUUUUGUAUGACCUGCGUGUCAUUGAAUAACGCCAUGUAAAUUACUUUACUUUAUUGCUAAACACGUUAGCCAUAGAAGUAGAAGUAAUCGUUGGCGUGACAACUUCAUGAAGACACGAUGAUGGAGAUCAUGGUGUCAUGCCGGUGACGAAGAUGAUCAUGGCGCCUCGAAGAUGGAGAUCAAAAGGAGCAAAAUGAUAUUGGCCAUAUCAUGUCACUAUUUGAUUGCAUGUGAUGUUUAUCAUGUUUUACAUCUUAUUUGCUUAGAACGACGGUAGUAAGUAAGAUGAUCCCUUAUAAUAAUUUCAAGAAAGUGUUCCCCCUAACUGUGCACCGUUGCGAAGGUUCGUUGUUUCGAAGCACCACGUGAUGAUCGGGUGUGAUAGAUUCUAACAUUCGCAUACAACGGGUGUUGACGAGCCUAGAAUGUACAGACAUGGCCUCAGAACACACGCAGUACACUUAGGUUAACUUGACGAGCCUAGCAUGUACAGACAUGGCCUCGGAACAUGGAAGACCGAAAGGUCGAGCAUGAUUCGUAUAGAAGAUACGAUCAACAUGAAGAUGUUCACGAUAUUGACUAGUCCGUCUCACGUGAUGAUCGGACACGGCCUAGUUGACUCGGAUCAUGUUUCACUUAGAUGACUAGAGGGAUGUCUAUCUGAGUGGGAGUUCAUUGAAUAAUUUGAUUAGAUGAACUUAAUUAUCAUGAACUUAGUCUAAAAUCUUUACAAUAUGUCUUGUAGAUCAAAUGGCCCACGUUGCCCUCAACUUCAACGCGUUCCUAGAGAAAACCAAGCUGAAAGAUGAUGUCAGCAACUAUACGGACUGGGUCCGGAACCUGAGGAUCAUCCUCAUAGCUGCCAAGAAAGAUUAUGUCCUAGAAGCACUGCUAGGUGAAGCACCCAUCCUAGAGAACCAAGACGUUAUGAACGCUUGGCAGUCACGUGCUGAUGAUUACUCCCUCGUUCAGUGCGGCAUGCUUUACAGCUUAGAACCGGGGCUCCAAAAGCGUUUUGAGCAACACGGAGCAUAUGAGAUGUUCGAAGAGCUGAAAAUGGUUUUCCAAGCUCAUGCCCGCGUCGAGAGAUAUGAAGUCUCCGACAAGUUCUUCAGUUGUAAGAUGGAGGAAAGUAGUUCUGUCAGUGAGCACAUACUCAAAAUGUCUGGGUUGCACAACCGCUUGACUCAGCUGGGAGUUAAUCUCCCGGAUGACGCGGUCAUUGACAGAAUCCUUCAGUCGCUUCCACCGAGCUACAAGAGCUUUGUGAUGAACUUCAAUAUGCAGGGGAUGGAAAAGACCAUUCCUGAGGUAUAUUCAAUGCUGAAAUCAGCGGAGGUGGAGAUCAAAAAGGAACAUCAAGUGUUGAUGGUGAAUAAAACCACUAAGUUCAAGAAGGGCAAGGGUAAGAAGAACUUCAAGAAGGACGGCAAGGGAGUUGCCGCGCCCGGUAAGCCAGUUGCCGGGAAGAAGCCAAAGAAUGGACCCAAGCCUGAGACUGAGUGCUUUUAUUGCAAGGGAAGUGGUCACUGGAAGCGGAACUGCCCCAAAUACUUAGCGGACAAGAAGGCCGGCAACACCAAAGGUAUAUGUGAUAUACAUGUAAUUGAUGUGUACCUUACCAGUACUCGUAGUAGCUCCUGGGUAUUUGAUACCGGUGCGGUUGCUCAUAUUUGUAACUCAAAACAGGAGUUGCGGAAUAAGCGGAGACUGGCGAAGGACGAGGUGACGAUGCGCGUCGGGAAUGGUUCCAAGGUCGAUGUGAUCGCCGUCGGCACGCUACCUCUGCAUUUACCUACGGGAUUAGUUUUAAACCUCAAUAAUUGUUAUUUAGUGCCAGCUUUGAGCAUGAACAUUGUAUCAGGGUCUCAUUUAAUGCGAGAUGGCUACUCAUUUAAAUCUGAGAAUAAUGGUUGUUCUAUUUAUAUGAGAGAUAUGUUUUAUGGUCAUGCCCCGCUGGUCAAUGGUUUAUUCUUAAUGAAUCUCGAACGUGAUGUUACACAUAUUCAUAGUGUGAAUACCAAAAGAUGUAAAGUUGAUAACGAUAGUCCCACAUACUUGUGGCACUACCGCCUUGGUCACAUUGGUGUCAAACGCAUGAAGAAGCUCCAUGCAGAUGGACUUUUGGAGUCUCUUGAUUACGAAUCAUUUGACACGUGCGAACCAUGCCUCAUGGGUAAGAUGACCAAGGCUCCGUUCUCCGGAACAAUGGAACGAGCAACCAACUUAUUGGAAAUCAUACAUACUGAUGUGUGCGGUCCAAUGAGUGUUGAGGCUCGCGGUGGCUAUCGUUAUGUUCUCACUACUGACGACUUAAGUAGAUAUGGGUAUGUCUACCUAAUGAAACACAAGUCUGAGACCUUUGAAAAGUUCAAGGAAUUUCAGAGUGAGGUUGAGAAUCAACGUGACAGGAAAAUAAAGUUCUUACGAUCAGACCGUGGAGGGGAAUAUUUGAGUCACGAAUUUGGCACACACUUAAGGAAAUGUGGAAUAGUUUCACAACUCACGCCGCCUGGAACACCUCAGCGAAAUGGUGUGUCCGAACGUCGUAAUCGCACUCUAUUGGAUAUGGUGCGAUCUAUGAUGUCUCUUACCGAUCUACCGCUCUCAUUUUGGGGCUAUGCUUUAGAGACUGCCACAUUCACUUUAAAUAGGGCUCCGUCGAAAUCCGUUGAGACGACAUCGUAUGAAUUAUGGUUUGGGAAGAAACCUAAGCUGUCAUUUCUAAAAGUUUGGGGAUGCGAUGCUUAUGUCAAGAAACUUCAACCUGAAAAGCUCGAACCCAAGUCGGAGAAAUGCGUCUUCAUAGGAUACCCCAAGGAAACCAUUGGGUAUACCUUCUACCUCAGAUCCGAAGGCAAGAUCUUUGUUGCCAAGAAUGGGUCCUUUCUGGAGAAAGAGUUUCUCUCGAAAGAAAUAAGUGGGAGGAAAGUGGAACUUGAUGAGGUGAUAGUCACCCCUUCCGAACCGGAAAGUAGCGCAGCGCGGGAAGAUGUUCCUGUGGUGCCUACACCGACUGGGGAGGAAGUUAAUGAUGAUGAUCAUGAAGCUUCGGAUCAAGUUACUGCUGAACUUCGUAGGUCCACAAGGACACGUUCCGCACCAGAGUGGUACGGCAACCCUGUCCUGGAAAUCAUGUUGUUAGACAACGGUGAACCUUCGAACUAUGAAGAAGCAAUGGCGGGCCCAGAUUCCGACAAAUGGCUAGAAGCCAUGAAAUCCGAGAUAGGAUCCAUGUAUGAAAACGAAGUAUGGACUUUGACUGAGUUGCCCGAUGAUCGGCGAGCGAUAGAAAACAAAUGGAUCUUUAAGAAGAAGACAGACGCGGAUGGUAAUGUGACCAUCUAUAAGGCUCGACUUGUCGCUAAGGGUUAUCGACAAGUUCAAGGGGUUGACUACGAUGAGACUUUCUCACCCGUAGCGAAGCUGAAGUCCGUCCGAAUCAUGUUAGCAAUUGCCGCAUACUAUGAUUAUGAGAUAUGGCAAAUGGACGUCAAAACGGCAUUCCUUAACGGCUUUCUUAAGGAAGAAUUGUAUAUGAUGCAGCCGGAAGGUUUUGUCGAUCCUAAGAAUGCUAACAAGGUAUGCAAGCUCCAGCGCUCUAUCUAUGGGCUGGUGCAAGCAUCUCGGAGUUGGAACAUUCGAUUUGAUGAGAUGAUCAAAGCGUUUGGGUUUACACAGACUUAUGGAGAAGCCUGUGUUUACAAGAAAGUGAGUGGGAGCUCUGUAGUAUUUCUCUUAUUAUAUGUGGAUGACAUACUAUUGAUGGGAAAUGAUAUAGAAUUCUUGGAAAGUAUAAAGGCCUAUUUGAAUAAGUGUUUUUCAAUGAAGGACCUUGGAGAAGCUGCUUAUAUAUUAGGCAUCAAGAUCUAUAGAGAUAGAUCAAGAUGCCUCAUUGGUCUUUCACAAAGUACGUACCUUGACAAGAUAUUGAAGAAGUUCAAUAUGGAUCAGUCCAAGAAGGGGUUCUUGCCUGUAUUGCAAGGUGUGCAAUUAAGCACGGCUCAAUGCCCGACCACGGCAGAAGAUAGAGAAAAGAUGAGUGUCAUCCCCUAUGCCUCGGCCAUAGGGUCUAUUAUGUAUGCCAUGCUGUGUACCAGACCUGAUGUAAACCUUGCCGUAAGUUUGGUAGGAAGGUACCAAAGUAGUCCCGGCAUGGAACACUGGAAAGCGGUCAAGAAUAUCCUGAAGUACCUGAAAAGGACUAAGGAUAUGUUUCUCGUAUAUGGAGGUGACGAAGAGCUCGUCGUAAAGGGUUACGUCGACGCUAGCUUCGACACAGAUCUGGAUGACUCUAAGUCACAAACCGGAUACGUGUAUGUUUUGAAUGGAGGGGCAGUAAGCUGGUGCAGUUGCAAGCAAAGCGUCGUGGCGGGAUCUACAUGUGAAGAGGAGUACAUGGCGGCCUCAGAGGCAGCGCAAGAAGCAAUCUGGAUGAAGGAGUUCAUUACCGACUUAGGGGUGAUUCCCAAUGCGUCGGGCCCGAUGACUCUCUUCUGUGACAACACUAGAGCUAUUGCCCUUGCCAAGGAGCCCAGGUUUCACAUGAAGACCAGGCAUAUCAAGCGUCGCUUCAACUCCAUUCGUGAAAGUGUUCAAAAUGGAGACAUAGAUAUUUGUAAAGUAUAUACGGACCUGAAUGUAGCAGAUCCGUUGACUAAACCUCUCCCUAGGGCAAAACAUGAUCAACACCAGGAUGCAACGGGUGUUCGAUUCAUCACAAUGUAACUAGAUUAUUGACUCUAGUGCAAGUGGGAGACUGUUGGAAAUAUGCCCUAGAGGUAAUAAUAAAUGGUUAUUAUUAUAUUUCUUUGUUCAUGGUAAUUGUCUAUUGUUCAUGCUAUAAUUGUAUUGUCCAGAAAUCGUAAUACAUGUGUGAAUACAUAGACCACAACGUGUCCCUAGUAAGCCUCUAGUUGACUAGCUCGUUGAUCAACAGAUAGUCAUGGUUUCCUGACUAUGGACAUUGGAUGUCAUUGAUAACAGGAUCACAUCAUUAGGAGAAUGAUGUGAUGGACAAGACCCAAUCCUAAGCAUAGCACAAAGAUCGUGUAGUUCGUUUGCUAGAGCUUUUCCAAUUGUCAAGUAUCAUUUCCUUAGACCAUGAGAUUGUGCAACUCCCGGAUACCGUAGGAGUGCUUUGGGUGUGCCAAACAUCACAACGUAACUAGGUGGCUAUAAAGGUGCACUACGGGUAUCUCCGAAAGUGUCUGUUGGGUUGGCACGAAUCGAGACUGGGAUUUGUCACUCCGUUUGACGGAGAGGUAUCUCUGGGCCCACUCGGUAAUGCAUCAUCAUAAUGAGAUCAAAGUGACCAAGUGGUUGAUCACGGGAUCAUGCAUUACGGUACGAGUAAAGUGACUUGCCGGUAACGAGAUUGAACAAGGUAUUGGGAUACCGACGAUCGAAUCUCGGGCAAGUAACGUACCGAUUGACAAAGGGAAUUGUAUACGGGAUUGAUUGAAUCCUCGACAUCAUGGUUCAUCCGAUGAGAUCAUCGUGGAACAUGUGGGAGCCAACAUGGGUAUCCAGAUCCCGCUGUUGGUUAUUGACCGGAGAGUCGUCUCGGUCAUGUGUGCAUGUCUCCCGAACCCGUAGGGUCUACACACUUAAGGUUCGGUGACGCUAGGGUUGUAGAGAUAUUAGUAUGCGGAAACCUGAAAGUUGUUCGGAGUCCCAGAUGAGAUCCCGGACGUCACGAGGAGUUCCGGAAUGGUCCGGAGGUGAAGAAUUAUAUAUAGGAAGUCCAGUUUCGGCCACCGGGAAAGUUUCGGGGGUUACCGGUAUUGUACCGGGACCACCGGAAGGGUCCCGGGGGUCCACCGGGUGGGGCCACCUAUCCCGGAGGGCCCCAUGGGCUGAAGUGGGAGGGGAACCAUCCCCUGGUGGGCUGGUGCGCCCCCCUUGGGCCUCCCCCUGCGCCUAGGGUUGGAAACCCUAGGGGUGGGGGCGCCCCCCACUUGGCUUGGGGGGGAAGCCACCCCUUGGCCGCCGCCCCUGGAGAUCUGAUCUCCCAGGGCCGGCGUCCCCCCAGGAGGCCUAUAUAUAGGAAGGGGGAGGUAGGGCAGCCGCACCACAGCCCCUGGCGCCUCCCUCUCCCUCCCGUGACACAUCUCCCUCCCGCUUGCGCUUGGCGAAGCCCUGCCGGGAUCCCCGCUACUUCCACCACCACGCCGUCGUGCUGCUGGAUCUCCAUCAACCUCUCCUUCCCCCUUGCUGGAUCAAGAAGGAGGAGACGUCGCUGCUCCGUACGUGUGUUGAACGCGGAGGUGCCGUCCGUUCGGCGCUCGGUCAUCGGUGAUUUGGAUCACGACGAGUACGACUCCAUCAACCCCGUUCACUUGAACGCUUCCGCUCGCGAUCUACAAGGGUAUGUAGAUGCACUCCUCUCUCUCGUUGCUAGAUGACUCCAUAGAUUGAUCUUGGUGAUGCGUAGAAAAUUUUAAAUUUCUGCUAUGAUCCCCAACAAUUUAAACUUUGCAUCAAAGUAGGUUGUCUAGAUAUGCAACUAGGUGAGCAACCUAUAUGAUGCAACAACAAUAAGCAUACACGCAAGCAAGAGAUAAAGCACAAAUAAGCUUGCACAAGUAAAGGCACGAGAUAACCAAGAGUGGAGCCGGUGAAUACGAGGAUGUGUUACCAAAGUUCCUUCCCUUUGAGAGGAAGUACGUCUCCGUUGGAGCGGUGUGGAGGCACAAUGCUCCCCAAGAAGCCGCUAGGGCCACCAUAUUCUCCUCACGCCCUCACACAAUGCGAGAUGCCGUGAAUCCACUAUUGGUGCCCUUGGAGGCGGCGACCGAACCUUUACAAACAAGGUUGGGGCAAUCUCCACAACUUAAUUGGAGGCUCCCAACGAUACCACGAAGCUUCACCACAAUGGACUAUGGCUCCGUGGUGACCUCAACCGUCUAGGGUGCUCAAACACCCAAGAGUAACAAGAUCCACAAGGGAUUAGUGGGGGGAUUCAAAUUUCUCUUGGUGGAAGUGUAGAUCGGGGCCUUCUCAACCAAUCCCUAGAGAAUCAACAAGUUUGGUUGGCUAGGGAAGGAGAUCGGGCGAAAAUGGAGCUUGGAGCAACAAUGGAGCUUAGAGGUGAAAGAGGUGGUCAACUAGAGGAGGAAGACACCCCUUAUAUAGUGGAAGAACAAAUCCAACCGUUAUCCACCAACUCAGCCUGCGCAGCGCGGUACUACCGCACCUGAGGCGCGGUACUACCGCAGGGGCACGCGGUACUACCGCACCUGAGGCACGGUACUACCGCAGGGGCACGCGGUACUACCGCACAGCCCCGCGGUACUACCGCCCACGCAGCAGAGACCAGAACAGCCACACAUGCACUAAGGCAGAGGGCGGUAGUACUGCUGGCGCGGUACUACCGCUCCCCCUUGCGGUACUACCGCAAGGCAGGGGCUGUCCAGGGAUGGGAAGGCACGGAUAUAAAAAAUUACAUCCGUGGCUACUUCCGCGGAGUUGGAGUCGAUGCAAAAACCCGACGCGGUAGUACCGUAAGUCAGCCGCGGUACUACCGCGCGAGGCGCGGAUGUAAAAAAUUACAUCCGCCCCUUACUGCCGCGUACUUGCAGAACUAAGCGAGGACCACGGUACUACCGCUUACUAGAAGCGGUAUUACCGUGGGACCUUGCGGUACUACCGUGGGACCUUGCGGUACUACCGCACCAGCGGGCGGUACUACCGCAAGGUCCUGCGGUACUACCGCUCUAACGAGCAGUACUACCGCACCCCCUAGUUCGGCAAACAAGAGCAAUAUUUGCAUAGACAAGGAAAACAUAGGAUGCUCCAAAGGCUAGAGGAAAGGAGGUGCAAAGGAAGAUGUGUACGUGAUGAAUCCACCCAACCUUUCCAACGCGGACCCCCUCUUAAUAGUACGGCUUCCCUACGACUCAAUACCACCGAAAAGAACCGAAGAGAAACACCGUCUUCUAUAGCCUUCGAGGGGAACCCAAUCAUCUUGUGCCUAGUCAAUAUAUCUGAAAUAUUCGAUGCACAUGAUUAGUCCGCAAAAGCAUUGUCAUCAAUCACCAAAACCAACUAAGGGAUAAAAACGCCCUUACACCUAGUUUAUGCGUUGCUUCGUAAGGGGCUGAUUUGGAUCCAUUUGUUUCAUGCUAUGGUUAGGUUUACCUUAAUACUUCAUUUGUAGUUGCGUAUGCUUGCAAUAGGGGUUAAUCAUAAGUGGGAUGCUUGUCCAAGGAAGGGCAGCACCCAAGCACCGGUCCACCCACAUAUCAAAUUAUCAAAGUAACGAACGCAAAUCAUAUGAGCGUGAUGAAAACUAGCUUGACGAUAAUUCCCAUGUGUGCUCGGGAGCGUUUUCCUUUAUAUAAGAAUUUUUCCAGGCUUAUCCUUUGCUACAAAAAGGAUUGAGCCACCUUGCUGCACUUUAUUUACUCUCGUUACUUGUUACCCGUUGCAAAUUACCUUAUCACAAAACUAUCUGUUACCGAUAAUUUCAGUGCUUGCAGAGAAUACCUUACUGAAAACCGCUUGUCAUUUCCUUCUGCUCCUCGUUGGGUUCGUCACUCUUACUUAUCGAAAGGAUUACGAUAGAUCCCCUAUACUUGUGGCUCAUCAAGACUCUUUUCUGGCGCCGUUGCCGGGGUGGGAAGCGCCUUUGGUAAGGAAAAAAUUAUAUAGUGUGCUGAAAUUUACUGUCACUUGUUACUAUGGAAAGUAAUCCUUUGAGGGGCUUGUUCGGGGUAUCCUCACCCUGCCAGUAGAGCAAAGAGUUGCUCCUCAACCUACUAAACCUAUUGAAAAUGUUUACUUGAAAUUCCUUCGGGUAUGAUAGAGAAACUUUAGCUAAUCCUUUUACAGGAGAUGGAACAUUGCAUCCCGAUUUACACCUAAUCUAUGUGGAUGAAGUUUGUGGUUUAUUUAAGCUUGCAGGUAUGCCCGAGGAUGUUAUCAAGAAGAAGGUCUUCCCUUUAUCUUUGAAGGGAAAGGCAUUGACAUGGUUUAGGCUAUGUGAUGAUAUGGGAUCAUGGAACUACAACCGAUUGAAAUUGGAAUUUCAUAAGAAGUUUUAUCCUAUGCAUCUUGUUCAUCGUGAUCGUAAUUAUAUAUAUAAUUUUGGCCUCGCGAAUGAGAAAGCAUCGCUCAAGCUUGGGGGAGGCUUAAGUCAAUGUUAUAUUCAUGCCCCAAUCAUGAUCUCUCAAGAGAAAUUAUUGUUCAAAGUUUUUAUGCUCGGCUUUCUCUCAAUAAUCGCUCCAUGCUCGAUACUUCUUAUACUGGUUCUUUUAUGAUGAAGACUAUUGAAUUCAAAUGGGAUUUAUUGGAAAGAAUUAAACGCAACUCUAAAGAUUGGGAUCUCGACGAAGGUAAGGAGUCAGGUAUAACACCUAAGUUUGAUUGUGUUAAAUCUUUUAUGGAUACCGAUGUUUUCCGUGAAUUUAGCACUAAAUAUGGACUUGACUCUGAGAUAGUAGCUUCUUUCUGUGAAUCCUUUGCUACUCAUGUUGAUCUCCCUAAGGAGAAGUGGUUUAAAUAUAAUCCUCCCAUUGAAGUAAAAGUAGUUGCACCUAUUAAAGUUGAAGAAAAGACUAUCACUUAUAAUGUUGAUCCUAUUGUUCCUACUGCUUAUGUUGAAAAACCACCUUUCCCUGUUAGAAUGAAGGAUCAUGCUAAAGCUUCAACUGUGGUCAACAAAAGUAAUAUUAGGACACCCAAACCCUAUGAGCAAAUUAAAGUUGAACCUAGUAUUGCUAUGGUUAAAGAUCUCUUGGUUGAUAAUAUUGAUGGGCAUGUUAUUUACUUCUGUGAUGAAGCUGCUAGAAUUGCUAAACCCGAUGCUAAAGAUAAACAUAGACCUAUUGUUGGCAUGCCUGUUGUUAUAUGGCUUAUGUGAUAUGGGUACUAGUGUCAGUGCAAUACCUUACACCCUAUAUAAAGAAAGUAUGCAUGAUAUUGCACCUGCUGAGAUAGAUGAUAUUGAUGUUACUAUUAAGCUUGCCAAUAGAGAUACUAUCUCACCAGUUGGGAUUGUUAGAGAUGUAGAAGUCUUGUGUGGGAAAAUUAAAUAUCCUACUGAUUUUCUUGUUCUUGCUUCCCCAUAAGAUAACUUUUGUCCCAUUAUAUUUGGUAGACCCUUCUUGAAUACUGUUAAUGCUAGGAUAGAUUGCGAAAAGGAUAUUGUUACUGUUGGGUUAGGAGAUAUGUCUCAUGAGUUUAACUUUGCUAAAUUUCGUAGACAACCCCAUGAUAAAGAAUUGCCUAGUAAAGAUGAAAUUAUUGGUCUUGCUUCCAUUGCUGUGCCUCCUAAUGAUCCUUUAGAACAAUAUUUGCUAGAUCAUGAGAAUGAUAUGUUCAUGAAUAAAAGAAGGGAAAUAGAUGAAGUAUUCUUUAAACAGGGACCCAUUUUGAAACACAACUUGCCUGUUGAAAUCCUAGGGGAUCCUCCUCCACCCAAGGGUGAUCCCGUGUUUGAGCUUAAACCAUUACCAGAUACUCUUAAAUAUGCUUAUCUUGAUGAAAAGAAGAUAUAUCCUGUUAUUAUUAGUGCUAACUUUUCAGAGCAGGAAGAGGAGAAAUUAUUGAAAACUCUGAAGAAGCACCGUGUUGCUAUUGGAUAUACUCUUGAUGAUCUUAAGGGCAUUAGUCCCACUCUAUGCCAACACAAAAUUAAAUUAGAGAAAGACGAUAAACCGGUUGUUGAUCACCAACGACGGUUAAAUCCUAAGAUGAAAGAAGUGGUAAGAAAUGAAAUACUAAAGCUCCUGGAGGCAGGUAUAAUUUAUCCUGUUGCUGAUAGUCAGUGGAUAAGUCAUGUCCAUUGUGUCCCUAAGAAGGGAGGUAUUACCGUUGUUCCUAAUGAUAAAGAUGAAUUGAUCCCGCAAAGAAUUGUUAUGAGUUAUAUAAUGGUAAUUGACUUCCGCAAAUUAAAUAAAGCUACUAGAAAAGAUCAUUACCCUUUACCUUUUAUUGAUCAAAUGCUAGAAAGAUUAUCUAAACAUACGCAUUUUUGCUUUCUAGAUGGUUACUCUGGAUUCUCUCAAAUACCUGUGUCAAAAGAGGAUCAGGAUAAGACCACUUUUACUUGCCCUUUUGGUACCUUUGCUUAUAGACGUAUGCCUUUUGGUUUAUGCAAUGCACCUACUACCUUUCAAAGAUGCAUGAUGGCUAUAUUCUCUGAUUUUUGUGAAAAGAUUGUUGAGGUUUUCAUGGAUGAUUUUCCCGUAUAUGGAACUUCUUUUGAUGAUUGCUUGAGCAACCCUGAUCGAGUUUUGCAGAGAUGUGAAGAAACUAAUCUUGUCUUGAAUUGGGAGUAGUGGCACUUUAUGGUUAAUGAAGGUAUUGUCUUGGGGCAUAAAUUUUUUGAAAGAGGUAUUGAGCUUGAUAAAGCUAAAGUUGAUGCUAUUGAAAAGAUGCCGUGUCCCAAGGACAUCAAAGGUAUAAGAAGUUUCCUCGGUCAUGCCGGUUUUUAUAGGAGGUUCAUUAAAGACUUCUCAAAAAUCUCUAGGCCUCUGACUAAUCUAUUACAAAAAGAUGUUCCUUUUGUCUUUGAUGAUGAUUGUGUAGAAGCAUUUGAAAUACUUAGGAAAGCCUUGAUUUCUGCACCUAUUGUUCAGCCACCGGAUUGGAAUUUACCCUUUGAAAUUAUGUGUGAUGCUAGUGAUUAUGUUGUAGGUGCUGUUCUAGGACAAAGAGUUGAUAAGAAAUUAAAUGUUAUUCAAUAUGCUAGUAAAACUCUAGACAGUGCCCAAAGAAAUUAUGCUACUACUGAAAAAGAAUUUUUAGCAGUUGUAUUUGCUUGUGAUAAGUUCAGACCUUAUAUUGUUGAUUCUAAAGUAACUGUUAACACUGAUCAUGCUGCUAUUAAAUAUCUUAUGGAAAAGAAAGAUGCUAAACCUAGACUUAUUAGAUGGGUUCUCCUACUACAAGAAUUUGAUUUGCAUAUUAUUGAUAGAAAGGGAGCUGAGAACCCCGUUACAGACAACUUGUCUAGGUUAGAAAAUGUUCUUGAUGACCCACUACCUAUUGAUGAUAGCUUUCCUGAUGAACAAUUGGCUAUCAUAAAUCCGUCACGUACUGCUCCAUGGUAUGCUGAUUAUGCUAAUUACAUUGUUGCUAAAUUUAUACCACCUAGUUUCACAUACCAGCAAAAGAAAAAGUUUUUCUAUGAUUUAAGACAUUACUUCUGGGAUGACCCACACCUUUACAAAGAAGGAGUAGAUGGUGUUAUUAGGCGUUGUGUACCUGAGCAUGAACAGGAACAGAUCCUACGCAAGUGUCACUCCGAGGCUUAUGGAGGACACCACGCUGAAGAUAGAACUGCACAUAAGGUAUUGCAAUCCGGUUUUUAUUGGCCUACUCUCUUCAAAGAUGCCCGUAAGUUUGUCUUGUCUUGUGAUGAAUGUCAAAGAAUUGGUAAUAUCAGUAGACGUCAAGAAAUGCCUAUGAAUUAUUCACUUGUUAUCGAACCAUUUGAUGUUUGGGGCUUUGAUUAUAUGGGACCUUUUCCUUCCUCUAAUGGGUAUACACAUAUUUUAGUUGCUGUUGAUUACGUUACUAAGUGGCUAGAAGCUAUUCCAACUAGUAAUGCUGAUAAUAAAACCUCUAUUAAGAUGCUUAAAGAAGUUAUUUUUCCAAGGUUUGAAGUCCCUAGAUACUUAAUGACUGAUGGUGGUUCACAUUUUAUUCAUGUUGCUUUUCGUAAAAUGCUUGCUAAGUAUGACGUUAAUCAUAGAAUUGCAUCUCCUUACCACCCACAAUCUAGUGGUCAGGUAGAAUGAGUAAUAGAGAGAUCAAAUUAAUUUUGCAAAAAACUGUUAAUGGAUCUAGAAAGAAUUGGUCCAAGAAACUUGAUGAUGCAUCAUGGGCCUAUAGAACUGCAUAUAAAAAUCCUAUGGGUAUGUCUCCUUAUAAAAUGGUUUAUGGAAAAGCAUGUCACUUACCUCUCGAACUAGAACAUAAGGCAUAUUGGGCUAUUAAAGAGCUCAAUUAUGAUUUCAAACUUGCCGGUGAGAAGAGGCUAUUUGACAUUAGCUCACUUGAUGAACGGAGAACCCAAGCUUAUGAGAAUGCCAAACUGUUUAAAGAAAAAGUUAAAAGAUGGCAUGACAAAAGGAUACAAAAGCGUGAGUUUAAUGUAGGUCAUUAUGUGUUGCUAUACAACUCUCGUUUAAGAUUUUUUGCAGGAAAACUCCUCUCUAAAUGGGAAGGUCCUUACGUUAUUGAGGAGGUCUAUCGUUCCGGUGCCAUAAAAAUCAACAACUUCGAAGGCACAAAUCCGAAGGUGGUGAACGGUCAAAGAAUCAAACAUUAUAUCUCAGGUAAUCCCAUAAAUGUUGAAACUAAUGUUAUUGAAACCGUAACUCCGGAGGAGUACACAAGGGACACUUUCCAGAAUGUUCCAGACUCCUAAAAGGAAUAGGUAUGUGGUACGGUAAGUAAACUGACUCCAAAACAGUCCUAAUGGCAAUUUUUCUCCGUUUUGGGAUAUUUAAGAAAACAUGAAAAAUAAGUAGUCCAGGAAGGACACGAGGCGUCCACGAGGGUGGAGGGCGCGCCCUACCCCCUGGGCGCGCCCCCUGCCUCGUGGGCACCUCGUGUGCUCUCCGGACUCCGUUUUCUUGCACGAUACUUCUUUUGGUCGGUAAAAAUUCAUUAUAUAAUCUCCCGAAGGUUUUGACCCUCGUAUCACGCAAAUAUCCUCUGUUUUUGUUUCAAGCUGUUUUUCUGACAGAUCUAGAUCACCAUGACGUCUCCAAGCGCCCCCAAGGACAAGUUCUUCGAGAAGGUUAUCAACCCCUACCUCGCGGAGGUGCUGCAACAUCCUCAAACAAUUGAGAUGCGUGAGGGGUUGCUGCACAUCCGCGAUGUUGAGGGACCAAGGAGGACCGGAAGCGUGGAGACGAGACUCGAAGCAAUGGAGCAACAAGUUUUCAAGUGCCAGGAGAUGGUGGAACAUGGACUCGACGCCAACCACAUAAUGAUCACGGAGUUCACCAACAACCACAAGCUAGAUGCCAAGAACAUUGGGGAGGCCAUCUUCAAGCUUCACGAGAAAAUCGAGCACCUCCAAGUCCAGAUCUAUGACCUGCAAAACCAAAACUGUGAGUAUGAAUAUAGAUUCAAGAGGAUGAGUUUGGCUGCAGAUUUGAGGAUCCCGGGGACUCGAUCAUCCUUCUAUGAUGGUGAGCCUAUGCCUUGGAAGAUGGAUGACAAGCCUACAUCAUCAACAACUCCAUCAUCACCACCCCCGAAGAAGGAGACAUAAUCACAUGGGUAUGGGCACUCCCCUUGGCAACUGCCAAGCUUGGGGGCGGUGCCCCGGUAUCGUAUCACCAUCACACUUCUAUUUUUACCGUUUUUCUUAGUUCAAUCCUUUUGGUUAUACCUUGAUCUAGUAGAAUAAAAGUUUUAGUAUGAUUUAAUUUUGAGUUUUGCUUUAUGAUUCUUCUAUGUAAUCGAGUCAGUGAGCUAUAUAUAAUAAAUAUUAGUUUUGAGUUAAGGGCUUGAUUAUCUUGCUAUGAUCUUGAGGAAAUAAAAGAAAAAGAAAGAAUAAAAAGAAUUAAAGAGAUCUUAUUGAUCUUAUGGGGAGUAAUGACUUCACAUAUAAAGAGUAUGAUGAAUAAAAGUUGUUGGGAGUUGACAAACAUAGUUUUGGUCAUCGUUGCAAUUAAUAGGAAGUAAUAAAGAAAGAGAGGUUUUCACAUAUAAAAAUACUAUCUUGGACAUCUUUUAUGAUUGUGAGCACUCAUUAAAAUAUGACAUGCUAAAAGUUGAAUUUUGACAAGGAAGACAACGUAAUGGGUUAUGUUUUCUUAUAUCCGAAAUAAAGUAUAUUGUCAUGGAUCAUCCAACAUGUUGAGCUUGCCUUUCUCCCUCAUGCUAGCCAAACUCUUUGCACCAAGUAGAGAUACUACUUGUGCUUCCAAAUAUCCUUAAACCCAGUUUUGCCAUGAGAGUCUACCAUACCUACCUAUGGAUUGAGUAAGAUCCUUCAAGUAAGUUAUCAUUGUUGCAUGCAAUAAAAAUUGCUCUCUAAAUAUGUAUGAUUGAUUAGUGUGGAGAAAAUAAGCUUUAUACGAUCUUGUGAUGUGGAAGAAAUAAAAGCGACGGACUGCAUAAUAAAGGUCCAUAUCACAAGUGGCAAUAUAAAGUGACGUUCUUUUGCAUUAAGAUUUUGUGCAUCCAACCAUAAAAGCACAUGACAACCUCUGCUUCCCUCUGCGAAGGGCCUAUCUUUUAUUCUUGUAUUAUACCUUAUACAAGAGUCAUGGUGAUCUUCACCAUUCCUUUUUACACUUUAUCCUUUGGCAAGCCCUAUGUGUUGGAAAGAUCCUGAUAUAUAUAUGCAAUUUGGAUGUAAGUUAGCAUGAACUAUUAUUGUUGACAUUACCCUUGUGGUAAAAGGUUGGGAGGCGAAACUAUAAGCCCCUAUCUUUCUCUGUGUCCGAUUGAAACUCCAUACCCAUAAGUAUUGUGUGAGUGUUAGCAAUUGUGAAAGACUAAAUGAUAGUUGAGUAUGUGGACUUGCUGAAAAGCUCUUACAUAGACUCUUUCCGAUGUUAUGAGAAAUUGCAAUUGCUUCUAUGACCGAGAUUAUAGUUUGUUAGUUUUCAAUGAAGUUUCUGAUUCAUACUUGACAUUGUGAAUACAUUGUUACUUUAGCAUAAGAAAUCAUAUGACAAUAUGUGUAUAUGUUGAUGCCAUAAGAAUGAUCAUGAUGCCCUCAUGUCUGUAUUUUAUUUUAUCGACACCUCUAUCUCUAAACAUGUGGACAUAUUUUUCGUUAUCGGCUUCCGCUUGAGGACAAGCGAGGUCUAAGCUUGGGGGAGUUGAUACGUCCAUUUUGCAUCAUGCUUUUAUAUCAAUAUUUAUUGCAUUAUGGGCUGUUAUUACACAUUAUGUUAUAAUACUUAUGCCUUUUCUCUCUUAUUUUACAAGGUUUAUAUGAAGAGGGAGAAUGCCGGCAGCUGGAAUCAUGGGCUGGAAAAGGAGCAAACAUUAGAGACUGAUAACCCACAAGUAUAGGGGGUCGCAACAGUUUUCGAGGGUAGAGUAUUCAACCCAAAUUUAUUGAUUCGACACAAGGGGAGCCAAAGAAUAUUCUCAAGUAUUAGCAGUUGAGUUGUCAAUUCAACCACACCUAGAUAACUUAAUAUCUGCAACAAAGUAUUUAGUAGCAAAGUAGUAUGGAAGUAACGGUAACAGUAGUAGUUUUGUAGUAAUUGUAAUAGUGGCAACGGUAAAGUAACUAAGCAAAGAGCAAUAUGUGAAAAGCUCAUAGGCAUUGGAUCGGUGAUGGAGAAUUAUGUCGGAUGCGAUUAUUCAUGCAAUAGUUAUAACAUAGGGUGACAUAGAACUAGCUCCAAUUCAUCAAUGUAAUGUAGGCAUGUAUUCCGAAUAUAGUCAUACGUGCUUAUGGAAAAGAACUUGCAUGACAUCUUUUGUCCUACCCUCCCGUGGCAGUGGGGUCCUAUUGGAAACUAAGGGAUAUUAAGGCCUCCUUUUAAUAGAGUACCGGACCAAAGCAUUAACACAUAGUGAAUACAUGAACUCCUCAAACUACGGUCAUCACCGGGAGUGGUCCCGAUUGUUGUCACUUCGGGGUUGCCGGAUCAUAACACAUAGUAGGUGACUAUAGACUUGCAAGAUAAGAUCAAGAACUCACAUAUAUUCAUGGAAACGUAAUAGGUUCAGAUCUGAAAUCAUGGCACUCAGGCCCUAGUGACAAGCAUUAACCAUAGCAAAGUCAUAGCAACAUCAAUCUCAGAACAUAAUGGAUACUAGGGAUCAAACCCUAACAAAACUAACUCGAUUACAUGAUAAAUCUCAUCCAACCCAUCACCAUCCAGCAAGCCUACGAUGGAAUUACUCACGCAUGGCGGUGAGCAUCAUGAAAUUGGUGAUGGAGGAUGGUUGAUGAUGACGAUGACGACGGAUUCCCCUUUCCGGAGCCCCGAACGGACUCCAGAUCAGCCCUCCCGAGAGAGUUUAGGGCUUGGCGGCGACUCCGUAUCGUAAAACGCGAUGAAUCCUUCUCUCUGAAUUUUUUCUCCCCGAACGUGAAUAUAUGGAGUUGGAGUUGAGGUCGGUGGAGCUCCAGGGGGGCCACGAGGCAGGGGGGCGUGCCCAGGGGUAGGCGCGCCCCCACCCUCGUGGACAGGGUGUGGGCCCCCUGGCCUUGAUUCUUUCGCCAGUAUUUUUUAUUAAUUCCAAAAAUAUUCUCCGUGAAAUUUCAGGUCAUUCCGAGAACUUUUAUUUCUGCACAAAAUAACACCAUGGCAAUUCUGCUGAAAACAGUGUCAGUCCGGGUUAGUUGCAUUCAAAUCAUGCAAGUUAGAGUCCAAAACAAGGGCAAAAGUGUUUGGAAAAGUAGAUACGAUUUAGACGUAUCAACUCCCCCAAGCUUAACCUUUGCUUGUUCUCAAGCAAUUCAGUUGACAAACUGAAAGUGAUAAAGAAAAACUUUUACAAACUCUGUUUGCUCUUGUUGUUGUAAAUAUGUAAAGCCAGCAUUCAAGUUUUCAGCAAAGAUUAUGAACUAACCAUAUUCACAAUAACAUUUAGAUCUCAUGUUUACUAAUAUCAAUGACAUAAUCAACUAGUGAGCAAUAAUAAUAAAUCUCGGAUGACAACACUUUCUCAAAACAGUCAUAAUAUGAUAUAACAAAAUGGUAUCUCGCUAGCCCUUUCUGAGACCGCAAAACAUAAAUGCAAAGCACCUUUAAAGAUCAAGGACUGAGUAAACAUUGUAAUUCAUGGUAAAAGAGAUCCAGUCAUAGUCAUACUCAAUAUAAAUUAAUAGUAAUGGAUGCAAAUGACAGCGGUGCUCUCCAACUGGUGCUUUUUAAUAAGAGGAUGAUGACUCAGCAUAAAAGUAAAUAGAUAGGCCAUUCGUAGAGGGAAGAAGGGAUUUGUAGAGGUGCCAGAGCUCGAUUUUAAAGCAGAGGUAAAUAAUAUUUUUAGCGGCAUACUUUCAUUGUCAACAUAACAACCGAGAGAUCUCAAUAUCUUUCAUGCUACACACAUUAUAGGCGGUUCCCAAGCAGAAUGGUAAAGUUUAUACUCCCCCACCACCAACAAGCAUCAAUCCAUGGCUUGCUCGAAACAACGAGUGCCUCCAACUAGCAACAACCCUGGGGGAGUUUUGUUUGCAAUUAUUUUGAUUUGGUUUGAGCAUGGGACUCGGCAUCCCGAUGACCAGCCAUUUUCUCGUGAGUGAGGAGUGGAGUCCACUCCUCUUGAGAAUAACCCGCCUAGCAUGGGAGAUACAGACAACCCUAGUUGAUACAUGAGCUAUUCAAGCAUGCAAAACAGAAUUUCAUUUGAAGGUUUAGAGUUUGGCACAUACAAAUUUACUUGGAACGGCAGGUAGAUACCGCAUAUAGGAAGGUAUAGUGGACUCAUAUGCAAUAACUUUGGGGUUUAUGGAAGUGGAUGCACAAGCAGUAUUCCCGCUUAGUACAAGUGAAGGCUAGAAAAAGACUGGGAAGCGACCAACUAGAGAGCGACAACAGUCAUGAACAUGCAUUAAAAUUAACCAACACUGAGUGCAAGCAUGAGUAGGAUAUAAUCCACCAUGAACAUAAAUAUCGCGGAGGCUACGUUGAUUUUGUUUCAACUACAUGUGUGAACAUGUGCCAAGUCAAGUCACUCGAAUCAUUCAAAGGAGGAUACCACCCUAUCAUACCACAUCACAACUAUUUUAAUAGCAUGUUGGCACGCAAGGUAAACCAUUAUAAACUCCUAGCAAAUUAAGCAUGACAUUAGCAACUAUAAUCUCUAAUUGUCAUUGCAAACAUGUUUCAUUCAUAAUAGGCUGAAUCAGGAACGAUGAACUAAUCAUAUUUACAAAAACAAGAGAGGUCGAGUUCAUACCAGCUUCUCUCAUCUCAAUCUGUCCAUCAUAUAUCGUCAUUAUUGCCUUUCACUUGCACGACCGAACGGUGUGUAUAAUAAUAAUAGUGCACGUGCAAUGGACUAAUCUGCAAGCAUCUGAUACAAGGGAGAAGACAAGGUAAUAUGGGAUCUUUGUUAAAUCAACAAUAAUGCAUAUAAGAGCCACUUCAACAUUUUCAUUAUGGUCUUCUCCUAUCGACCCCCAAAGAAAAGAAAAGAAAUAAAACUAUUUACACGGGAAAACUCCCAACAAGCAAAAGAAGAACGAGAAAUCUUUUUGGGUUUUCUUUUGAAUUACUACUACUACAUUCAUGGAAAGUAAACUAGCUAAAAGGUACAACUAUUUUUUUGGUUUUUCUUAAGGUUAUUCAAACACACAAGAAGAAAGCGAGAAAAAGAAAAUAAACUAGCAUGGAUAUUACAAUGAAAAAGUAUGAGCACCGACAACUAGAAUGAGUGUGUGAACAUGAAUGUAAUGUCGGUGAGAAAUACGUACUCCCCCAAGCUUAGGCUUUUGGCCUAAGUUGGUUUAUGCCCAUGGAUCAAAGUUGUAGUUGGGGUCUUACUGAGAUGGAUCCUCGGGGUGCCACUGGUUGGCAAUCUCCUCCGGAUCCCACUGAUAAACGGACUGACGGUGAGGAUUAAGUUGUGGCUCCGGCUCUGGCUCUGGAGCUGGUAUGAGGUUCUGGUAGGCAUGAUGGCCGCCGGCAGAAUAAGAUACUUGCCUGAAGAUAAGUUAAACAAAGAAGGAGCAGGCAAAGUAAUAGUCUCAAAGUAAUCUUUAUCAAAUAUCAGCCUAUAGUUAAGCAUCAUUUUCUUAUUCUUAACAAUAAAAUCAUGUGCUACCAUACUCUUAUAGUCUAGAAAACCAGGAGGCAUCAACUUUUCUUCUUUCUCAUGAUGCCUAAUAGGUAUGUUAAAGUGUGCAGCGAGGCGCGAGGCGAAGAUACCUCCCAAGAUGGGACCCUUCGUACGGUUCAGAUUUAACCGUUUGGCAACAAUAGCGCCCAGACUAAAAGUGUUAUCACGAAACAAGGCAUGGCCCAAAAUAACAAUAUCAGGGGCACUAAGGUUUCCACAGUUUCCGCGACCAAUUAAACAUCUACUAGCAAAUAUUGCAAAGUAACGUAGAACAGGAAAGUGUAUGCUAGUAAUUCUGGCAUCGGAAACUUUCCUCGUUUCCCCUACAACAAUCAUAUCAAUAAACCCUUCCACAUCAUUACAAUGUGGUUCCUCUAUGCUGCCCGCAAAGGGUAUCUUACAGACCCGGCAGAAAUCAAAUAGUGACAUCUCCUUAAACUCAUCAUAUAAAUAAAAAUCCACCGAAGGUGGUGAUCUCCUAGCAUGGAAAUGAAAAUUUUGCACUAAAAUAUUAGUGAGUAGGAGAUACUAUUCGCGUUGGUCGCGGAGGAAGUCGGUGAGGCCCGCAUUCUCAGCCAAAUAAUAAAAAUCAUCAUGAAUCCCGGCUGCCCUCAAGAAAUCAUCACAAGUCCAUUCACACGGUCGAACCUCCGCGGUGCGAGGGAGAUUAUAUUUGGGCCUUUUAUCCCCUUCACUUUUCUUAUCCUUCGAGCUUCGGCUCGAAGAGCCCCUCAAAAAUCUCUUCAUCAAUUUCUGAAAAUUUCUGAAAUUUUUAGUAACUUAAAAUAAAAGUGAACCAAACUCAACAAAAUUGAUAGCAACUACUCCCACAAGUGCCUAGAGACUAUAUCAUGAAUUAGAACUACUUGGGACCAUAUAAAUUUGACAUGCAAGAUCAAGAACAAGGUCACCUAAGCAGUAGAAAUUUGCAAUAAUAAAGCACUAGAACAAAAACUAAUUGGACCAUUGGAGGAGUCACAUACCGAAGAACAAUCCCCCAAAGCAGUUUUGUGAGUGGAGCUUUGAGCAAGGAGAUCGGAAAUCGCAGCAAGAUGAGCUAGAACUCGUGCUUGAGAUGGUUGGUGAUUUUUUGGGAGGGAGAAGGAGUGUGUGGGUGCAGGAAUAAGUGGAGGGGGCCCCACGAGGCAGGGGGCGCGCCCUCGACCCUCGUGGCCAGGUGCUUGCUCCCCCUGUUGUGUUCUCAGUGCCAGAUAUUCUCAAAUAUUCUAGAAAAAAUCAUAUUUCAUUUUCAGGUCAUUUGGAGAACUUUUAUUUUCGGGGUAUUUUUUAUUGCAUGGAUAAUUCAGAAAACAGAUAGAAAAUACUAUUCUUGCUUUAUUUAAUCUAAAUAACAGAAAGUAAAAGGAGGGUACAGAAGGUUGUGCUCUCUAACUUCAUCCAUCUCAUGCUUAUCAAAAGGAAUCCACUAACAAGGUUGAUCAAGUCUUGUUAACAAACUCUUUUCGAAUAACAUGGAACCGGAGAAAUUUCGAAUAACACUAGGUUACCUCAACGGGGAUAUGCACAUCCCCAAUAAUAAGAAUAUCAAAUUUCUUCUUGACAGUAGGAAGAGGAAAUUCAAAACCUCCAAUAAUAAUCGAUGGAAUUUUUCCAAUAGAAUUGAUACUGUGGACUUGAGGUUGUUUCCUCGGAAAGUGUACCGUAUGCUCAUUACCGUUAACAUGAAAAGUGACAUUGCCCUUGUUGCAAUCAAUAACAGCCCCUGCAGUAUUCGAAAAGGGUCUACCAAGGAUAAUCGACAUACUAUCGUCCUCGGGAAUAUCAAGAAUAACAAAGUCCGUUAAAAUAGUAACGUUUGCAGCCACGACAUGCACAUCCUCACAAAUACCGACAGGUAUAGCAGUUGAUUUAUCGGCCAUUUGCAAAGAUAUUUCAGUAGGUGUCAACUUAUUCAAAUCAAGUCUACGAUAUAAAGAGAGAGGCAUAACACUAACACCGGCUCCAAGAUCACAUAAAGCAGUUCUAACAUAGUUUCUUUUAAUGGAGCAUGGUAUAGUUGGUACUCCUGGAUCUCCAAGUUUCUUUGGUAUUCCACCAUUAAAAGUAUAAUUAGCAAGCAUGGUGGAAAUUUCAGCUUCCAAUAUCUUUAUUUUAUUUGUAACAAUAUCCUUCAUGUAUUUAGCAGAAGGAUUCAUUUUAAGCAUAUCAGUAAAACGCAUACGCAAGCAGAUAAGUCUAAUCAUUUCAGCAAAGUGCUCAAAAUCCUCAUCAUCCUUUUUCUUGGAUGGUUUAGGAGGAAAGGGCAUGGAUUUCUGAACCAUGGUUCUCUUUCUUUACCAUGCUUCCUAGCAACAAAGUCUCUCUUAUCAUAACAUUGAUUCUUUGAUUGUGGGUUAUCAAGAUCAACAGCAGGUUCAAUCUCUACAUCAUUGUCAUUACUAGGUUGAGCAUCAACAUGAACAUUAUCAUUAAUAUUAUCACUAGGUUCAUGUUCAUCACCAGAUUGUGUUUCAGCAUCAGAAAUAGAAAUAUCAUUGGGAUUCUUAGGUGUGUCAACAACAGGUUCACUAGAAGCAUGCAAAGUCCUAUCAUUUUUCUUUUUCUUCCUCUUAGAAGAACUAGGUGCAUCAACAUUUGUUCUCUGAGAAUCUUGCUCAGUUCUCUUAGGGUGGCCCUCAGGAUACAAAGGUUCCUGAGUCAUUUUACCCCCUCUAGUCAUAACUCUAGCAGCAUUAUCAUUCUUCUUAUAUUUAAUUCAUUGAGCAAAAUUUAUUGAGCUUUAAGCACUUGUUCUACUUGAGUGGUAACCAUAGAAGCAUGUUUACUAAUAAGUUUAAGUUCACCUUUAACACUAGACAUAUAAUCACUCAAGUAUUCAAUCAUAUAAGCAUUGCGUUUCAAUUGUCUGGCAACAUACGCAUUGAAUUUUUCUUGUUUAACAAUAAAAUUGUCAAACUCAUCUAAGCAUUGGCUAGCAGACUUAUAACGAGGAAUAUCACCUACAUCAAAUCUAUAGAGAGAAAUUACCUUUACUACCUGUGUAGGGUUAUCAAGACCAUGUAUUUCUUCAACAUGCGCCAGAUUAAGACCAUGUAUUUCUUCAAUAGGAGGUAAAUUCUUAACAUCUUCAGCUUUAAUACCUUUUUCUUUCAUAGAUUUCUUUGCCUCUUGCAUAUCUUCAGGACUGAGAAAUAGAAUACCCCUUUUCUUCGGAGUUGGAUUAGGAGUUGGUUCAGGAAGUGUCCAAUUAUGUUCAUUAGUCAACAUAUUAUUCAAUAGCAAUUCAACUUGAUCAACUGUUCUUUCCCUGAAAACACAACCAGCACAACUAUCCAGGUGGUCUCUGGAAGCAUCGGUUAGUCCAUUAUAAAAGAUAUCAAGUAUUUCAUUUUUCUUGAGAGGAUGAUCAAGCAAAGCAUUAAGUAAUUGGAGAAGCCUCCCCCAAGCUUGUGGGAGGCUCUCUUCUUCAAUUUGCACAAAAUUAGAUAUUUCCCUUAAGGCAACUUGUUUCUUAUGAGUGGGAAAAUAUUUAGCAGAGAAGUAAUAAAUCAUAUCCUGGGGACUACGCACACAACCAGGAUCAAGAGAAUUAAACCAUGUUUUAGCAUCACCCUUUAAUGUGAAUGGAAAUAAUUUAAGGAUACAGUAGUAGCGAGUUUUCUCAUCAUUAGUGAAUAGGGUGGCUAUAUCAUUUAAUUUAGUAAGAUGUGCAACAAUAGUUUUAGAUUCAUAACCAUAAAAAGGAUCAGAUUCAACCAAAGUAAUUAUCUCAGGAUCGACAGAGAAAUCAUAAUACUUAUCAGUAACACAGAUAGGUGAAGUAGCAAAAGCAGGGUCAUAUUUCAUUCUAGCAUUCAAAGAUUUUUCUUUCAGCUUAGCUAAUAAUUUCUUAAGAUCAUUCCUAUCAUUGCAAGCAAGAAAGUCUCUAGCAGUUUCUUCAUCCAUAACAUAACCCUCAGGCACAACAGGCAAUUCAUACCAAUUCAUAUCUAGGGGGAGAAUCUUCAUCAUCACUUUCAUCAAUAUUAUCAGUUUCAAUAAUUUCAUUCUCUCUAGCCCUAGCAAGUUGUUCAUCAAGAAAUUCACCUAGUGGCACAGUAGAAUCAAGCAUAGAAGUAGUUUCAUCAUAAGUAUCAUGCAUAGCAGAAGUGGCAUCAUCAAUAAAUGGGACAUAUCAGAAUUAAUAGAAGAAGGAGGUUUAGGUGUCACAAGCUUACUCAAAACAGAAGGAUAAUCAAGUGCAGAGCUAGAUGGCAGUUCCUUACCUCCCCUCGUAGUUGAGGGAAAAUCUUAGUUCUUUCAUCUUUCAAGUUCCUCAUAGUGACCAGCAGAUAUAAAUCCCAAGUGACUCAAAGAAUAGAGCUAUGCUCCCCGGCAACGGCGCCAGAAAAUAGUCUUGAUAACCCACAAGUAUAGGGGAUCACAACAGUUUUCGAGGGUAGAGUAUUCAACCCAAAUUUAUUGAUUCGACACAAGGGGAGCCAAAGAAUAUUCUCAAGUAUUAGCAGUUGAGUUGUCAAUUCAACCACACCUGGAUAACUUAAUAUCUGCAGCAAAGUAUUUAGUAGCAAAGUAGUAUGGAAGUAACGGUAAAAGUGGCAACGAUAACAGUAGUAGUUUUGUAGUAAUUGUAAUAGUGGCAACGGUAAAGUAACUAAGCAAAGAGCAAUAUGUGAAAAGCUCGUAGGCAUUGGAUCGGUGAUGGAGAAUUAUGUCGGAUGCGAUUAUUCAUGCAAUAGUUAUAACAUAGGGUGACACAGAACUAGCUCCAAUUCAUCAAUGUAAUGUAGGCAUGCAUUCCGAAUAUAGUCAUACGUGCUUAUGGAAAAGAACUUGCAUGACAUCUUUUGUCCUACCCUCCCGUGGCAGCGGGGUCCUAUUGGAAACUAAGGGAUAUUAAGGCCUCCUUUUAAUAGAGUACCGGACCAAAGCAUUAACACAUAGUGAAUACAUGAACUCCUCAAACUACGGUCAUCACCCGGAGUAGUCCCGAUUAUUGUCACUUCGGGGUUGCCGGAUCAUAACACAUAGUAGGUGACUAUAGACUUGCAAGAUAAGAUCAAGAACUCACAUAUAUUCAUGAAAACAUAAUAGAUUCAAAUCUGAAAUCAUGGCACUCGGGCCCUAGUGACAAGCAUUAAGCAUAGCAAAGUCAUAGCAACAUCAAUCUUAGAACAUAAUGGAUACUAGGGAUCAAACCCUAAAAAAACUAACUCGAUUACAUGAUAAAUCUCAUCCAACCCAUCACCGUCCAGCAAGCCUACGAUGGAAUUACUCACGCUCGGCGGUGAGCAUCAUGAAAUUGGUGAUGGAGGAUGGUUGAUGAUGACGACGGCGACGGAUUCCCCUCUCCGGAGCCCCGAACGGACUCCAGAUCAGCCCUCCCGAGAGAGUUUAGGGCUUGGCGGCGGCUCCGUAUCGUAAAACGUGAUGAAUCCUUCUCUUUGAUUUUUUCUCCCCGAACGUGAAUAUAUGGAGUUGGAGUUGAGGUCGGUGGAGCUCCAGGGGCCCACGAGGCAGGGGGCGCGCCCAGGGGGGUAGGCGUGCCCCCACCCUCGUGGACAGGGUGUGGGCCCCCUGGCCUUGAUUCUUUUGCCAGCAUUUUUUAUUAAUUCCAAAAAUAUUCUCUGUGACGUUUCAGGUCAUUCCGAGAACUUUUAUUUCUGCACAAAAAUAACACCAUGGCAAUUCUGCUGAAAACAGCGUCAGUCCGGGUUAGUUCCAUUCAAAUCAUGCAAGUUAGAGUCCAAAACAAGGGCAAAAGUGUUUGGAAAAGUAGAUACGAUGGAGACGUAUCAGAGACCUAUUCUACACAACUCCAAAAGUCCAGAAACUUCACGGGAGCUCCUUUUGGAAUCAAUAAAAAAUACUGGCGAAAGAUGUUGGGUAACGUAGUAAUUUCAAAAAAAAAUUCCUACGCACACGCAAGAUCAUGGUGAUGCAUAGCAAUGAGAGGGGAGAGUGUUGUCCACGUCGUAGACCAAAAGCGGAAGCGUUAACACAACGUGGUUGAUGUAGUCGUACGUCUUCACGAUCCGACCGAUCAAGUACCGAACGCACGGCACCUCCGAGUUCAGCACACGUUCAGCUCGAUGACGUCCCUCGAACUCCGAUCCAGCUGAGUGUUGAGGGAGAGUUUCGUCAGCACGACGGCGUGGUGACGAUGAUGAUGUUCUACCGACGCAGGGCUUCGCCUAAGCACCGCUACGAUAUUAUCGAGGUGUAAUAUGGUGGAUGGGGGCACCGCACACGGCUAAGAGAUCAAUGAUCAAUUGUUGUGUCUAUGGGGUGCCCCCCUGCCCCCGUAUAUAAAGGAUCAAAGGGGGGAGGUGCGGCCAGCCUUGGGGCGCGCCAGGAGGAGUCCUACUCCCACUGGGAGUAGGACUCCCCCCUUUUCCUAGUUGGAUUAGGACUUGGGAGGGGGGGAAGAGGAGAGGGAGAAGAAGGAAGGGGGGCGCCGCCCCCUUCUCCUUGUCCUAUUCGGACUAGGGGGAGGGGCGCGCGGCCCAGCCCUAGCCGCCUCUCCUCUCUUCCACCUAGGCCCACUAAGGCCCGUUAUGUUGCCGGGGGGUUUUGGUAACCUCCCGGUACUCCGGUAAAAUCCCGAUUUAACCCGGAACACUUCCGAUAUCCAAACAUAGGCUUCCAAUAUAUCAAUCUUUAUGUCUCGACCAUUUCGAGAUGCCUCUUCAUGUCCGUGAUCACAUCCGGGACUCCGAAAAACCUUCGGUACAUCAAAACAUAUAAACUCAUAAUAUAACUGUCAUCGAAACGUUAAGCGUACGGACCCUACGGGUUCGAGAACUAUGUAGACAUGACCGAGACACGUCUCCGGUCAAUAACCAAUAGCGGAACCUGGAUGCUCAUAUUGGCUCCCGCAUAUUCUACGAAGAUCUUUAUCGGUCAGACCGCAUAACAACAUACGUUGUUCCCUUUGUCAUCGGUAUGUUACUUGCCCGAGAUUCGAUCAUCGGUAUCUCAAUACCUAGUUCAAUCUCGUUACCGGCAAGUCUCUUUACUCGUUCUGUAAUACAUCAUCUCGCAACAAACUCAUUAGUUGCAAUGCUUGCAAGGCUUAAGUGAUGUGUAUUACCGAGAGGGCCCAGAGAUACCUCUCCGACAAUCGGAGUGACAAAUCCUAAUCUCGAAAUACGCCAACCCAACAAGUACCUUAGCAGACACCUGUAGAGCACCUUUAUAAUCACCCAGUUACGUUGUGACGGUUGGUAGCACACAAAGUGUUCCUCCGGUAAAUGGGAGUUGCAUAAUCUCAUAGUCAUAGGAACAUGUAUAAGUCAUGAAGAAAGCAAUAGCAACAUACUAAACGAUCGAGUGCUAAGCUAACGGAAUGGGUCAAGUCAAUCACAUCAUUCUCCUAAUGAUGUGAUCCCGUUAAUCAAAUGACAACUCAUGUCAAUGGCUAGGAAACAUAACCAUCUUUGAUCAACGAGCUAGUCAAGUAGAGGCACACUAGUGACACUUUGUUUUCUAUGUAUUCACACAAGUAUUAUGUUUCCCGUUAAUACAAUUCUAGCAUGAAUAAUAAACAUUUAUCAUGAUAUAAGGAAAUAAAUAAUAACUUUAUUAUUGCCUCUAGGGCAUAUUUCCUUCAGUCUCCCACUUGCACUAGAGUCAAUAAUCUAGAUUACACAGUAAUGAUUCUUACACCCAUGGAGCCUUGGUGCUGAUCAUGUUUUGCUCGUGGAAGAGGCUUAGUCAACGGGUCUGCAACAUUCAGAUCCGUAUGUAUCUUGCAAAUUUCUAUGUCUCCCACCUGCACUAAAUCCCGGAUGGAAUUGAAGCGUCUUUUGAUGUGCUUGGUUCUCUUGUGAAAUCUGGAUUCCUUUGCUAAGGCAAUUGCACCAGUAUUGUCACAAAAGAUUUUCAUUGGACCCGAUGCACUAGGUAUGGCACCUAGAUCGGAUAUGAACUCCUUCAUCCAGACUCCUUCAUUUGCUGCUUCCGAAGCAGCUAUGUACUCCGCUUCACACGUAGAUCCCGCCACGACGCUUUGUUUAGAACUGCACCAACUGACAGCUCCACCGUUCAAUGUAAACACGUAUCCGGUUUGCGAUUUAGAAUCGUCCGGAUCAGUGUCAAAGCUUGCAUCGACGUAACCAUUUACGAUGAGCUCUUUGUCACCUCCGUAAACGAGAAACAUAUCCUUAGUCCUUUUCAGGUAUUUCAGGAUGUUCUUGACCGCUGUCCAGUGAUCCACUCCUGGAUUACUUUGGUACCUUCCUGCUAGACUUAUAGCAAGGCAUACAUCAGGUCUGGUACACAGCAUUGCAUACAUGAUAGAGCCUAUGGCUGAAGCAUAGGGAACAUCUUUCAUCUUCUCUCUAUCUUCUGCAGUGGUCGGGCAUUGAGUCUUACUCAACUUCACACCUUGUAACAUAGGCAAGAACCCUUUCUUUGCUUGAUCCAUUUUGAACUUCUUCAAACUUUGUCAAGGUAUGUGCUUUGUGAAAGUCCAAUUAAGCGUCUUGAUCUAUCUCUAUAGAUCUUGAUGCCCAAUAUAUACGCAGCUUCACCGAGGUCUUUCAUUGAAAAAAAUCUUAUUUAAGUAUCCCUUUAUGCUAUCCAGAAAUUCUAUAUCAUUUCCAAUCAGCAAUAUGUCAUCCACAUAUAAUAUCAGAAAUGCUACAGAGCUCCCACUCACUUUCUUGUAAAUACAGGCUUCUCCAAAAGUUUGUACAAAACCAAAUGCUUUGAUCACACUAUCAAAGAGUUUAUUCCAACUCCGAGAAGCUUGCACCAGUCCAUAAAUGGAUCGCUGGAGCUUGCACACUUUGUUAGCUCCCUUUGGAUCGACAAAACCUUCCGGUUGCAUCAUAUACAAUUCUUCUUCCAGAAAUCCAUUCAGGAAUGCAGUUUUGACAUCCAUUUGCCAAAUUUCAUAAUCAUAAAAUGCGGCAAUUGCUAACAUGAUUCGGACAGACUUAAGCAUCGCUACGGGUGAGAAGGUCUCAUCAUAGUCAAUCCCUUGAACUUGUCGAAAACCUUUCGCAACAAGUCGAGCUUUAUAGACAGUAACAUUACCGUCAGCGUCAGUCUUCUUCUUGAAGAUCCAUUUAUUUUCAAUGGCUUGCCGAUCAUCGGGCAAGUCAACCAAAGUCCAUACUUUGUUCUCAUACAUGGAUCCCAUCUCGGAUUUCAUGGCCUCAAGCCAUUUUGCGGAAUCUGGGCUCACCAUCGCUUCUUCAUAGUUCGUAGGUUCGUCAUGGUCUAGUAACAUAACCUCCAGAACAGGAUUACCGUACCACUCUGGUGCGGAUCUUACUCUGGUUGACCUACGAGGUUCAGUAACAACUUGAUCUGAAGUUCCAUGAUCAUCAUCAUUAACUUCCUCACUAAUUGGUGUAGGCAUCACAGGAACCUGUUUCUGUGAUGAACUAUUUUCCAAUAAGGGAGCAGGUACUGUUACCUCAUCAAGUUCUACUUUCCUCCCACUCACUUUUUUCGAGAGAAACUCCUUCUCUAGAAAGGAUCCAUUCUUAGCAACGAAUGUCUUGCCUUCGGAUCUGUGAUAGAAGGUGUACCCAACAGUCUCCUUUGGGUAUCCUAUGAAGACACAUUUCUCUGAUUUAGGUUCGAGCUUAUCAGGUUGAAGCUUCUUCACAUAAGCAUCGCAGCCCCAAACUUUAAGAAAUGACAACUUUGGUUUCUUGCCAAACCACAGUUCAUAAGGCGUCGUCUCAACGGAUUUUGAUGGUGCCCUAUUUAACGUGAAUGCAGCCGUCUCUAAAGCAUAACCCCAAAACGAUAGCGGUAAAUCGGUAAGAGACAUCAUAGAUCGCACCAUCUCUAGUAAAGUACGAUUACGACGUACGGACACACCAUUACAUUGUGGUGUUCCGGGUGGCGUGAGUUGCGAAACUAUUCCGCAUUGUCCCAAAUGUAGACCAAACUCGUAACUCAAAUAUUCUCCUCCACGAUCUGAUCGUAGAAACUUUAUUUUCUUGUUACGAUGAUUUUCAACUUCACUCUGAAAUUCUUUGAACUUUUCAAAUGUUUCAGACUUAUGUUUCAUUAAGUAGAUAUACCCAUAUCUGCUCAAAUCAUCUGUGAAGGUGAGAAAAUAACGAUAUCCGCCACGAGCCUCAAUAUUCAUCGAACCACAUACAUCUGUAUGUAUGAUUUCCAACAAAUCUGUUGCUCUCUCCAUAGUUCCGGAGAACGGCGUUUUAGUCAUCUUGCCCAUGAGGCACGGUUCGCAUGUACCAAGUGAUUCAUAAUCAAGUGAUUCCAAAAGUCCAUCAGUAUGGAGUUUCUUCAUGCGCUUUACACCGAUAUGACCUAAACGGCUGUGCCACAAAUAAGUUGCACUAUCAUUAUCAACUCUGCAUCUUUUGGCUUCGACAUUAUGAACAUGUGUAUCACUACCAUCGAGAUUCAUUAAAAAUAGACCACUCUUCAAGGGUGCAUGACCAUAAAAGAUAUUACUCAUAUAAAUAGAACAACCAUUAUUCUCUAAUUUAAAUGAAUAACCGUCUCGCAUCAAACAAGAUCCAGAUAUAAUGUUCAUGCUCAACGCUGGCACCAAAUAACAAUUAUUUAGGUCUAAUACUAAUCCCGAAGGUAGAUGUAGAGGUAGCGUGCCGACGGCGAUCACAUCGACUUUGGAACCAUUUCCCAUGCGCAUCGUCACCUCGUCCUUGGCCAGUGUUCGCUUAAUCCGUAGUCCCUGUUUCGAGUUGCAAAUAUUAGCAAGAGAACCAGUAUCAAAUACCCGGGUGCUACUGCGAGCUCUAGUAAGGUACACACCAAUAACAUGUAUAUCACAUAUACCUUUGUUCACCUUGCCAUCCUUCUUAUCCGCCAAAUACUUGGGGCAGUUCCGCUUCCAGUGACCAGUCUGCUUGAAGUAGAAGCACUCAGUCUCAGGCUUAGGUCCAGACUUGGGUUUCUUCUCCUGAACAGCAACUUGCUUGCUGUUCUUCUUGAAGUUCCCCUUCUUCUUCCCUUUGCCCUUUUUCUUGAAACUAGUGGUCUUAUUGACCAUCAACACUUGAUGCUCCUUUUUUAUUUCUACCUCCGCAGCCUUUAGCAUUGCGAAGAGCUCGGGAAUCGUCUUAUCCAUCCCUUGCAUGUUAUAGUUCAUCACGAAGCUCUUGUAGCUUGGUGGCAGUGAUUGAAGAAUUCAGUCAAUGACUCUAUCAUCCGGAAGAUUAACUCCCAGUUGAAUCAAGUGAUUGUUAUACCCAUACAUUUUGAGUAUAUGCUCACUAACAGAACUAUUCUCUUCCAUCUUGCAGCUGUAGAACUUAUUGGAGACUUCAUAUCUCUCAAUCCGGGCAUUUGCUUGAAAUAUUAAAUUCAACUCCUGGAACAUCUCAUAUGCUCCAUGACGUUCAAAACGUCGUUGAAGACCCGGUUCUAAGCCGUAAAGCAUGGCACACUGAACUAUCGAGUAGUCAUCAGCUUAACUCUGCCAGACGUUCAUAACAUCUGGUGUUGCUCCUGCAGCAGGCCUGCCACCCAGCGGUGCUUCCAGGACGUAAUUCUUCUAUGCAGCAAUGAGGAUAAUCCUCAAGUUACGGACCCAGUCCGUGUAAUUGCUACCAUCAUCUUUCAACUUUGCUUUCUCAAGGAACACAUUAAAAUUCAACGGAACAACAGCACAAGCCAUCUAUCUACAAUUAACAUAGACAAGCAAGAUACUAUCAGGUACUAAGUUCAUGAUAAAUUUAAGUUCAAUUAAUCAUAUUACUUAAGAACUCCCACUUAGAUAGACAUCCCUCUAAUCAUCUAAGUGAUCACGUGAUCCAAAUCAACUAAACCAUAACCGAUCAUCACGUGAAAUGGAGUAGUUUUCAAUGGUGAACAUCACUAUGUUGAUCAUAUCCAUUAUAUGAUUCACGCUCGACCUUUCGGUCUCAGUGCUCCGAGGCCAUGUCUGCAUAUGCUAGGCUCGUCAAGUUUAACCUGAGUAUUCUGCGUGUGCAAAACUGGCUUGCACCCGUUGUAGAUGGACGUAGAGCUUAUCACACCCGAUCAUCACGUGGCGCCUGGGCACGACGAACUUUGGCAACGGUGCAUACUCAGGGAGAACACUUUUAUCUUGAAAUUUAGUGAGAGAUCAUCUUAUAAUCCUACUGUCAAUCAAAGCAAGAUAAGAUGCAUAAAAGAUAAACAUCACAUGCAAUCAUUAUAAGUGAUAUGAUAUGGUCAUCAUCAUCUUGUGCUUGUGAUCUCCAUCUCCGAAGCACCGUCAUGAUCCCCAUCGUCACCGGCGCGACACCUUGAUCUCCAUCGUAGCAUCGUUGUCGUCUCGCCAACUAUUGCUUCUACGACUAUCGCUACCGCUUAGUGAUAAAGUAAAACAAUUACAUGGCGAUUGCAUUGCAUACAAUAAAGCGACAACCAUAUGGCUCCUGCCAGUUGCCGAUAACUCGGUUACAAAACAUGAUCAUCUCAUACAAUAAAAUAUAGCAUCAUGCCUUGACCAUAUCACAUCACAACAUGCCCUGCAAAAACAAGUUAGACGUCCUCUACUUUGUUGUUGCAAGUUUUACGUGGCUGAGCAAGAACCAUUCUUACCUACGCAUCAAAACCACAACGAUAGUUUGUCAAGUUGGUGCUGUUUUAACCUUCGCAAGGACCGGGCGUAGCCACACUCUGUUCAACUAAAGUUGGAGAAACUGACACCCGCCAGCCACCUCUGUGCAAAGCACGUCGGAAGAACCAGUCUCGCGUAAGCGUACGCGUAAUGUCGGUCCGGGCCGCUUCAUCCAACAAUCCCACCGAACCAAAGUAUGACAUGCUGGUAAGCAGUAUGACUUAUAUUGCCCACAACUCACUUGUGUUCUACUCGUGCAUAUGACAUCUAUGCAUAAAACCAGGCUCGGAUGCCACUGUUGGGUAACGUAGUAAUUUCAAAAAAAAAUCCUACGCACACGCAAGAUCAUGGUGAUGCAUAGCAACGAGAGGGAAGAGUGUUGUCCAUGUACCCUCGUAGACCGAAAGCGGAAGCGUUAACACAACGCGGUUGAUGUAGUCGUACGUCUUCACGAUCCGACCGAUCAAGUACCGAACGCACGGCACCUCCGAGUUCAGCACACGUUCAGCUCGAUGACGUCCCUCGAACUCCGAUCCAGCCGAGUGUUGAGGGAGAGUUUCGUCAGCACGACGGCGUGGUGACGAUGAUGAUGUUCUACCGAUGCAGGGCUUCGCCUAAGCAGCGCUACGAUAUUAUCGAGGUGUAAUAUGGUGGAGGGGGGCACCGCACACGGCUAAGAGAUCAAUGAUCAAUUGUUGUGUCUAUGGGGUGCCCCCCUGCCCCGUAUAUAAAGGAUCAAAGGGGGGAGGUGCGGCCAGCCUUGGGGCGCGCCAGGAGGAGUCCUACUCCAACCGGGAGUAGGACUCCCCCCUUUUCCUCGUUGGAUUAGGACUUGGGAGGGGGAAAGAGGAGAGGGAGAAGAAGGAAGGGGGGCGCCGCCCCCUUCUCCUUGUCCUAUUCGGACUAGGGGGAGGGGCGUGCGGCUCAGCCCUAGCCGCCUCUCCUCUCUUCCACCUAGGCCCACUAAGGCCCAUUAUGUUGCCGGGGGGUUCCGGUACCGUCCCGGUACUCCGGUAAAAUCCCGAUUUCACCCAGAACACUUCCGAUAUCCAAACAUAGGCUUCCAAUAUAUCAAUCUUUAUGUCUCGACCAUUUCGAGACUCCUCGUCAUGUCCAUGAUCACAUCCGGGACUCCGAACAACCUUCGGUACAUCAAAACAUAUAAACUCAUAAUAUAACUGUCAUCGAAACGUUAAGCGUGCGGACCCUACGGGUUCGAGAACUAUGUAGACAUGACCGAGACACGUCUCCGGUCAAUAACCAAUAGCGGAACCUGGAUGCUCAUAUUGGCUCCCACAUAUUCUACGAAGAUCUUUAUCGGUCAGACCGCAUAACAACAUACGUUGUUCCCUUUGUCAUCGGUAUGUUACUUGCCCGAGAUUCGAUCGUCGGUAUCUCAAUACCUAGUUCAAUCUCGUUACCGGCAAGUCUCUUUACUCGUUCUGUAAUACAUCAUCUCGCAACAAACUCAUUAGUUGCAAUGCUUGCAAGGCUUAAGUGAUGUGUAUUACCGAGAGGGCCCAGAGAUACCUCUCCGACAAUCGGAGUGACAAAUCCUAAUCUCGAAAUACGCCAACCCAACAAGUACCUUAGCAGACACCUGUAGAGCACCUUUAUAAUCACCCAGUUACGUUGUGACAUUUGGUAGCACACAAAGUGUUCCUCCGGUAAACGGGAGUUGCAUAAUCUCAUAGUCAUAGGAACAUGUAUAAGUCAUGAAGAAAGCAAUAGCAACAUACUAAACGAUCGAGUGCUAAGCUAACGGAAUGGGUCAAGUCAAUCACAUCAUUCUCCUAAUAAUGUGAUCCCGUUAAUCAAAUGACAACUCAUGUCAAUGGCUUGGAAACAUAACCAUCUUUGAUCAACGAGCUAGUCAAGUAGAGGCAUACUAGUGACACUUUGUUUGUCUAUGUAUUCACACAAGUAUUAUGUUUCCGGUUAAUACAAUUCUAGCAUGAAUAAUAAACAUUUAUCAUGAUAUAAGGAAAUAAAUAAUAACUUUAUUAUUGCCUAAAGGGCAUAUUUCCUUCAAAAGAAUCAUCCAGAGGGGGCCCACACCCUGGCCACGAGGGUGGGGGGGCGCGCCCUACGCCCUGGGCGCGCCCCUGUCUUGUGGGCCCCCUGGAAGGCCUUCGGUGCCCAUCUUUGGCUAUAUGAAGUCUUUCGUCCUGGAAAAAAUAAGGAGGAAGCUUUCGGGAUGAAGCACCACCGUCUCAAGGCGGAACCUGGGCAGAACCAAUCUAGGGUUCCGGCGGAGCUGUUCUGCCUGGGAAACAUCCCUCCGGGAGGGGGAAAUCAUCACCAUCGAUCCUCUCAUUGGGAGGGGGUCAAUCUCCAUCAACAUCUUCACCAGCACCAUCUCCUCUCAAACCCUAGUUCAUCUCUUGUAUCCAAUAUUUGUCUCAAAACCUCAGAUUGGUACCUGUGGGUUGCUAGUAGUGUUGAUCACUCCUUGUAGUUGAUGCUAGUUGGUUGAUUCGGUGGAAGAUCAUAUGUUCAGAUCCUUUAUGCAUAUUAAUACCCCUUUGAUUAUGAACAUGAAUAUGAUUUGUGAGUAGUUACGUUUGUUCUUGAGGACAUGGGAGAAGUCUUGCUAUAAGUAGUCAUGUGAAUUUGUUAUUCGUUCGAUAUUUUCAUGAGAUGUAUGUUGUCUCAAGAACUCACAUAUAUUCAUGAAAACAUAAUAGGUUCAGAUCUGAAAUCAUGGCACUCGGGCCCUAGUGACAAGCAUUAAGCAUAGCAAAGUCAUAGCAACAUCAAUCUCAGAACAUAGUGGAUACUAGGGAUCAAACCCUAACAAAACUAACUCGAUUACAUGAUAAAUCUCAUCCAACCUAUCACCGUCCAGCAAGCCUACGAUGGAAUUACUCAUGCACGGCGGUGAGCAUCAUGAAAUUGGUGAUGGAGGAUGGUUGAUGAUGACGACGGCGACGGAUUCGCCUCUCCGGAGCCCCGAACGGACUCCAGAUCAUCCCUCCUGAGAGAGUUUAGGGCUUGGCGGCGGCUCCGUAUCGUAAAACGCGAUGAAUCUUUCUCUUUGAUUUUUUUCUCCCCGAACACGAAUAUAUGGAGUUGGAGUUGAGGUCGGUGGAGCUCCACGGGGCCCACGAGGCAGGGGGCGCGCCCAGGUGGGCAGGCGCGCCCCCACCCUCGUGGACAGGUGGUGGGCCCCCUGGCCUUGAUUCUUUCGCCAAUAUUUUUAAUAUUUUCCAAAAAUAAGUUCCGUGGAGUUUCAGGUCAUUCUGAGAACUUUUGUUUCUGCACAUAAAUAACACCAUGGCAAUUCUGCUGAAAACAGCGUCAGUCCUGGUUAGUUCCAUUCAAAUCAUGCAAGUUAGAGUCCAAAACAAGGGCAAAAGUGUUUGGAAAAGUAGAUACGUUGGAGACGUAUCAACUCCCCCAAGCUUAAACCUUUGCCUGUCCUCAAGCAAUUCAGUUGAUAAACUGAAAGUGAUAAAGAAAAACUUUUACAAACUCUGUUUGCUCUUGUUGUUGUAAAUAUGUAAAGCCAGCAUUCAAGUUUUCGGCAAAGAUUAUGAACUAACCAUAUUCACAAUAACACUUAGGUCUCAUGUUUACUCAUAUCAAUGGCAUAAUCAACUAGUGAGCAAUAAUAAUAAAUGUCGGAUGACAACACUUUCUCAAAACAAUCAUAAUAUGAUAUAACAAGAUGGUAUCUCGCUAGCUCUUUCUAAGACCGCAAGACAUAAAUGCAGAGCACCUUUAAAGAUCAAGGACUGACUAGACAUUGUAAUCCAUGGUAAAAGAGAUCCAAUCAUAGUCAUACCCAAUAUAAAUUAAUAGUAAUGAAUGCAAAUGACAGCGAUGCUCUCCAGCUGGUGCUUUUUAAUAAGAGGGUGAUGACUCAACAUAAAAGUAAAUAGAUAGGCCCUUCGCAGAGGGAAGCAGGGAUUUGUAGAGGUGCCAGAGCUCGAUUUUAAAGCAGAGAUAAAUAAUAUUUUGAGCGGCAUACUUUCAUUAUCAACAUAUCAACCAAGAGAUGGCGAUAUCUUCCAUGCUACACACAUUAUAGGCGGUUCCCAAACAGAAUGGUAAAGUUUAUACUCCCCCUCCACCAACAAGCAUCAAUCCAUGGCUUGCUCGAAACAACGAGUGCCUCCAACUAGCAACAGUCCCAGGGGGAGUUUUGUUUGCAAUUAAUUUGAUUUGAUUUGCAUAAAGCAUGGGACUGGGCAUCCCGAUGACCAGCCAUUUUCUCGUGAGUGAGGAGCGGAGUCCACUCCUCUUGAGAAUAACCCGCCUAGCAUGGAAGAUACGGAGAACCCUAGUUGAUACAUGAGCUAUUCAAGCAUACAAAACAGAAUUUCAUUUGAAGGUUUAGAGUUUGGCACAUACAAAUUUACUUGGAACGGCAGGUAGGUACCGCAUAUAGGAAGGUAUGGUGGACUCACAUGGAAUAACUUUGGGGUUUAAGGGAUUGGAUGCACAAGCAGUAUUCCUGCUUAGUACAAGUGAAGGCUAGCAAAAGACUGGGAAGCGACCAACUAGAGAGCGACAACAGUCAUGAACAUGCAUUAAAAUUAAUGAACAUUGAGUGUAAGCAUGAGUAGGAUGUAAUCCACCAUGAACAUAAAUAUCAUGAAGGCUAUGUUGAUUUGUUUCAACUACAUGUGUGAACAUGUGCCAAGUCAAGUCACUUGAAUCAUUCAAAGGAGGAUACCACCCUAUCAUACCACAUCACAACCAUUUUAAUAGCAUGUUGGCACGCAAGGUAAACCAUUAUAAACUCCUAGAUAAUUAAGCAUGGCAUAAGCAACUAUAAUCUCUAAUUGUCAUUGCAAACAUGUUUGUUCAUAAUAGGCUGAAUCAGGAACGAUGAACUAAUCAUAUUUACAAAAACAAGAGAGGUCGAGUUCAUACCAGCUUCUCUCAUCUCAAUCAGUCCAUCAUAUAUCGUCAUAAUUGCCUUUCACUUGCACGACCGAACGAUGUGAAUAAUAAUAAUAGUGCACGUGCAUUGGACUAAGCUGGAAUCUGCGAGCAUUCAAUAAACAGGAGAAGACAAGGCAAUAUGGGCUCUUGGUUAAAUCAACAAUAAUGCAUAUAAGAGCCACUUCAACAAUUUUAUUAUGGUCUUCUCCUAUCGACCCCCAAAGAAAAGAAAUAAAACUAUUUACACGGGAAAGCUCCCAACAAGCAAAAGAAGAACGGGAAAUAUUUUUGGGUUUUCUUGUAAUUAAUUACUACAGCAAGAAAAGUAAACUAACUAAAAGCUACAACUAAUUUUUUUUGGUUUUUCUUAAGGUUUAUCAAACACACAAGAAGAAAGCGUAAAAAGAAAAUAAACUAGCAUGGAUAUUACAGUGAAAGAGUAUGAGCACCGACAUCUAGCAAUGAGUGUGUGGAUAUAAAUGUAAUAUCGGUGGGAAAUACGUACUCCCCCAAGCUUAGGCUUUUGGCCUAAGUUGGUUUAUUGCCACGGAUGGCCUGGUGGAUAUCCAAAGUUGUAACCGGGGUCGUACUAUGAUGAAGAAGCCCCUGAUUGCCACUGGUUGGCAAUCACUCCGGAUCCCACUGGUAAUUAGACUGUCGUGGAGGAUCAAAUUGUGGUUCCGACUCUGGCUCUGUGGUUGAUGUAGGGUUCUGGUAGGCGUGAAUGGCCGCCAGCGGAACGAGAUACUGACCUGCAGAUAAAUUAAACAAGGAAGGAGCAAGCAAGGUAAUAGUCUCAGGGUGAUGUUUAUCAAAGAACAAUUUGUAUUUAAGCGCCCCUUCCCUAUUCUUAACAAUAAAACCAUGCGCUACCAUACUCUUAUAAUCUAAAUAAACAGUGGGCAGCAAUUUUUCUUCUUUUUCAUAGUGCCUAAUAGGUAUGUUAUAAUAUGCAGCAAGGCGUGAAGCAUAGACACCUCCAAAGAUGGGGCCCUUUGUACGGUUCAGACUUAACCGUUUGGCAAUAAUACCGCCCAUACUAACAGAGUCAUCACAGAAUAAACCAUGGAACAAAAUAAUAAUAUCAGGAACAAAAAAGUUUCCACAGUUUCCGUGACCAAUUAAGCAACGACUAGCAGAUAUUGCAAAAUAGCGUAAAACAGGAAAAUGUAUGCUAGUGAUUCUUGCAUCGGAAACCUUCCUAGUUUCCCCUACAGUAAUAGUAUCAAUAAACCCGUCCACAUCUUUACGAUGUGGUUCAUCUAAGCUACCCUCGAAAGGUAUUUUGCAAACCCUGCAAAAUUCAUAUAGUGACAUCUUCUUAACCACAUCAUAUAAAUGAAACUCUACUAAAGGAGGUGAUUCCUUAGGAUAAUAGUAGAAGUUUUGCACAAAAGUAUUGGUGAGUAAGAGAUACUGUUCGCGUUGGUCGCGGAGGAAGUUGGUGAGGCUUGCAUUCUCAGCCAAUUCAUAAAAAUCAUCAUAAAUCCCGGCUGCUCUCAAGAAAUCAUCGGAAGGCCAUUCACACGGCCGAACCUCCGCGGUGCGAGGCAGAUUAUAUUUGGGCUUCUCUGCUUCUUCACUUUGCUUUUCCUUCGAGCUGCGGCUCGAUGAGCCCCUCAAAAAUCUCUUCAUUAUUUUCUGAAAAUUUCUGAAAUUUUUAGUAACUUCAAAUAAAAGUGAACCAAGCUGAUGAAAAUUAAUAGUAACUACUCCCACAAGUGCCUAGAGACUAUAUCAUGCAUUAGAACUACUUGGAACCAAAUAAAUUUGACAUGCAAGCUCAAGAACAUGGUCACCUAGGCAGCACAAAUUUGCAAUGAAUAAAGCACUAGAACAAAAAAUAAUUGGACCAAUGGAGGAGUCACAUACCAAGGAACAAUCCCCCAAAGCAGUUUUGUGAGAGGUGCUUUGAGCAAGGAGAUCGAAAAUCGCAGCAAAAUGAGCUAGAACUCGUGCUUGAGCUGGAUGGUGAUUUUUUUGGGAGGAAGAAGAAGUGUGUGGGUGCAGGAAUAAGUGGAGGGGAGCCACCAUGGGCCCACGAGGCAGGGGGGCGCGCCCUGGACCCUCGUGGCCAGGUGCUUGCUCCCCCUGCUGUGUUCUCAGUGCCAGAUAUUCUCAAAUAUUCCAGAAAAAAUCAUAUUUCAAUUUCGGGGCAUUUGGAGAACUUUUAUUUCGGGGUAUUUUUGUAUUGCACGGAUAAUUCAGAAAACUAACAGAAAAAUACUAUUUUUACUUUAUUUCAACUAAAUAACAGAAAGUAAAAGGAGGGUACAGAAGGUUGUGCUUUCUAAUUUCAUCCAUCUCAUGCUCAUCAAAAGGAAUCCACUAACAAGGUUGAUCAGGUCUUGUUAACAAACUCAUUCCGAAUAACAUGGAACCGGAGAAAUUUCGAAUAACACUAUGUUACCUCAACGGGGAUAUGCACAUCCCCAAUAAUAAGAAUAUCAUAGUUCUUCUUGAUAGUAGGAAGAGGAAAUUCAAAACCUCCAAAAAUAAUCGAUGGAAUUUUUCCAAUAGAAUUUAUACUAUGAACUUGAGGUUGUUUCCUCGGAAAGUGUACCGUAUGCUCAUUACCAUUAACAUGAAAAGUGACAUUACCUUUGUUGCAAUCAAUAACAGCCCCUGCAGUAUUCAAAAAAGGUCUUCCAAGAAUAAUAGACAUACUAUCGUCCUCGGGAAUAUCAAGAAUAACAAAGUCCGUUAAAAUAGUAACAUUUGCAACCACAACAGGCACAUCCUCACAAAUACCGACAGGUAUAGCAGUUGAUUUAUCAGCCAUUUGCAAAGAUAUUUCAGUAGGUGUCAACUUAUUCAAAUCAAGUCUACAAUAUAAAGAGAGAGGCAUAACACUAACACCGGCUCCAAGAUCACAUAAAGCAGUUCUAACAUAAUUUCUUUUAAUGGAGCAUGGUAUAGUGGGUACUCCUGGAUCUCCUAGUUUCUUAGGUAUUCCACCCUUAAAAGUAUAAUUAGCAAGCAUGGUGGAAAUUUCAGCUUCCGGUAUCUUUCUUUUAUUUGUAACAAUUUCUUUCAUAUACUUAGCAUAACGAUUCAUUUUGAGCAUAUCAGUUAAUCGCAUACGCAAACAGAUAGGUCUAAUCAUUUCAGCAAAGCGCUCAAAAUCCUCAUCAUCCUUUUUCUUGGAUGGUUUCGGAGGAAAAGGCAUGGGUUUCUGAACCCAUGCAUGGUUCUCUUUCUUUACCGUGUUUCCUAGCAACAAAGUCUCUCUUAUCAUAACGUUGAUUCUUUGAUUGUGGGUUAUCAAGAUCAACAGCAGGUUCAAUUUCUACAUCAUUAUCAUUACUAGGUUGAGCAUCAUCAUGAACAUCAUCAUUAACAUUAUCACUAGGUUCAUAUUCAUUACCAGAUUGUGUUUCAGCAUCAGAAAUAGAAAUAUCAUUGGGAUUCUCAGGUGGUUCGGCAGUAGGUUCGCUAGAAGCAUGCAAAGUCCUAUCAUUUUUCUUUUUCUUCUUUUUAGAAGGACUAGGUGCAUCAAUAUUAUUUCUCUGAGAGUCCUGCUCAAUUCUCUUAGGAUGGCCUUCAGGAUACAAAGGUUCCUGACUCAUUUUACCAGUUCUAGUAGCCACUCUAACAGCAUAGUCAUUAUUCUUACUAUUUAAUUCAUUGAGCAAAUCAUUUUGAGCUUUAAGUACUUGUUCUACUUGACUGGUAACCAUAGAAGCAUGCUUACUAAUGAGUUUAAGUUCACCUUUAAAUCUAGACAUAUAAUCACUCAAGUGUUCAAGCACAUAAGAAUUGAGUUUUAAUUCUCUACCAAAAUAAGCAUUGAAGUUUUCUUGUUUAACAAUAAAAUUGUCAAACUCAUCUAAGCACUGUCUAGCAGACUUAUAUUGAGGAAUAUCACCUUCAUCAAAUCUACAGAGAGAAUUUACCUUUACUACCUGUGUCGGGUUAUCAAGACCAUGUGUUUCUUCAAUAGGUGAUGAAUUAAGAUCAUAUAUUUUUUCAACAGGCGGUAAAUAAAGACCAUGUAUUUCUUCAACAGGAGGUAAAUUCUUAACAUCUUCAGCUUUAAUACCCUUUUCCUUCAUAGAUUUCUUUGCCUCUUGCAUAUCUUCAGGACUGAGAAAUAGAACACCUCUUUUCUUCGGAGUUGGUUUAGGAAUAGGUUCCGGAGUUGGCUCAGGAAGUGUCCAAUUAUUUUCAUUUGUCAACAUAUUAUUCAAUAGAAUUUCAGCUUCAUCCGGUGUUCUUUCCCUGAAAACAGAACCAGCACAACUAUCCAGGUGGUCUCUGGAAGCAUCGGUUAGUCCAUUAUAAGAGAUAUCAAGUAUUUCAUUUUUCUUAAGAUGAUCAGGCAAAGCAUUAAGUAAUUAGAGAAGCCUCCCCCAAGCUUGUGGGAGACUCUCUUCUUCAAUUUGCACAAAAUUAUAUAUAUAUAUCCCUUAAAGCAGCUUGUUUCUUAUGAGCAGGGAAAUAUUUAGCAGAGAAGUAAUAAAUCAUAUCCUGGGGACUACACACACAACCAGGAUCAAGAGAAUUAAACCAUAUCUUAGCAUCACCCUUUAAUGAGAACGGAAAUAUUUUAAGGAUAUAAAAGUAGCGAGUUCUCUCAUCAUUAGUGAACAGGGUGGCUAUAUCAUUUAAUUUAGUAAGAUGUGCCACAACAGUUUAAGAUUCAUAGCCAUAAAAAGGAUUAGAUUCAACCAAAGUAAUUAUAUCAGGAUCAAUGGAGAAUUCAUAAUCCUUAUCAGUAACAAAGAUAGGUGAAGUAGCAUAAGCAGGAUCAUAUUUCAUUCUAGCAUUCAGAGUUUUUUAUUUAAGCUUAGCUAAUAAUUUCUUAAGAUCACUUCUAUCAUUGCAAGCAAGAAAGUCUCUUUUAGUUUCUUCAUCCAUAACAUAGCCCUCAGGCACAACAGGUAAUUCAUAUUUAUUGGGAGAGACUUCAUCAUCACUAUCAUCAAUAUUAUCGGUUUCAAUAAUUUCAUUCUCUCUAGCCCUAGCAAGUUGUUCAUCAAGAAAUUCACCAAGUGGCACAGUAGUAUCAAGCAUAGAAGUAGUUUCAUCAUAAGUAUCAUGCAUAGCAUAAGUGGCAUCAUCAAUAACAUGCGACAUAUCAGAAUUAAUAGCAGAAGCAGGUUUAGGUGUCGCAAGCUUACUCAAAACAGAAGGUGAAUCAAGUGCAGAGCUAGAUGGCAGUUCCUUACCUCCCCUCGUAGUUGAGAGAUAAAUUUUUGUUUUCUCGCCUUUCAAGUUCCUCAUAGUGACCAGCAGAUAUAAAUUCCAAGUGACUCAAAGAAUAGAGCUAUGCUCCCCGGCAACGGCGCCAGAAAAUAGUCUUGAUAACCCACAAGUAUAGGGGAUCGCAACAGUUUUCGAGGGUAGAGUAUUCAACCCAAAUUUAUUGAUUCGACACAAGGGGAGCCAAAGAAUAUUCUCAAGUAUUAGCAGUUGAGUUGUCAAUUCAACCACACCUGGAUAACUUAGUAUCUGCAGCAAAGUAUUUAGUAGCAAAGUAAUAUGGAAGUAACGGUAACGGUAGCAAAAGUAAUAUUUUUUGGUUUUGUAGUGAUUGUAAUAGUAGCAACGGAAAAGUAAAUAAGCAAAGAACAAUAUGUGAAAAGUGAAGGAAAUAUGCCCUAGAGGCAAUAAUAAUGUUAUUAUUUAUUUCCUUAUAUCAUGAUAAAUGUUUAUUAUUCAUGCUAGAAUUGUAUUAACCGGAAACAUAAUACAUGUGUGAAUACAUAGACAAACAGAGUGUCACUAGUAUGCCUCUACUUGACUAGCUCGUUAAUUAAAGAUGGUUAUGUUUCCUAACCAUAGACAUGAGUUGUCAUUUGAUUAACGGGAUCACAUCAUUAGGAGAAUGAUGUGAUUGACUUGACCCAUUCCGUUAGCUUAGCACUUGAUCGUUUAGUAUGUUGCUAUUGCUUUCUUCAUGACUUAUACAUGUUCCUAUGACUAUGAGAUUAUGCAACUCCCGUUUACCGGAGGAACACUUUGUGUGCUACCAAACGUCACAACGUAACUGGGUGAUUAUAAAGGUGCUCUACAGGUGUCUCCGAAGGUACUUGUUGGGUUGGCGUAUUUCGAGAUUAGGAUUUGUCACUCCGAUUGUCGGAGAGGUAUCUCUGGGCCCUCUCGGUAAUGCACGUCACUUAAGCCUUGCAAGCAUUGCAACUAAUGAGUUUGUUGCGGGAUGAUGUAUUACAGAACGAGUAAAGAGAGUUUCCGGUAACGAGAUUGAACUAGGUAUUGAGAUACCGACGAUCGAAUCUCGGGCAAGUAACAUACCGAUGACAAAGGGAACAACGUAUGUUGUUAUGCGGUCUAACCGAUAAAGAUCUUCGUAGAAUAUGUGGGAGCCAAUAUGAGCAUCCAGGUUCCGCUAUUGGUUAUUGACCGGAGACGUGUCUCGGUCAUGUCUACAUAGUUCUCGAACCAGUAGGGUCCGCACGCUUAAAGUUUCGAUGACAGUUAUAUUAUGAGUUAUGUAUUGAUGUACCGAAGGUUGUUCGGAGUCCCGGAUGUGAUCACGGACAUGACGAGGAGUCUCGAAAUGGUCGAGACAUGAAGAUUGAUAUAUUGGAAGCCUAUGUUUGGAUAUCGGAAGUGUUCCGGGUGAAAUCGGAAUUUUACCAGAGUACCGGGAGGUUACCGGAACCCCCCGGGGGCUUAAUGGGCCAUAGUGGGCCUUAGUGGAAGAGAGGAGAGGCGGCUAGGGCAGGGCCGCGCGCCCCUCCCCCCUAGUCCGAAUAGGACAAGGAGAGGGGGCCGGCGCCCCCCCUUUCCUUCCUCUCUCUCACCACUUUCCCCCUCCACUCCUAGUCCAACAAGGAAAAGGGAGGGAGUCCUACUCCCGGUGGGAGUAGGACUCCUCCUGGCGCGCCCCUUCUGGCCGGCCGUACCUCUCCCCCUUGCUCCUUUAUAUACGGGGGCACCCUAGAGACACAACAAUUGAUCGUUUGAUCAUUUAGCCGUGUGCGGUGCCCCCCUCCACCAUAGUCCACCUCGAUAAUACUGUAGCGGUGCUUAGGCGAAGCCCUGCAUCGGUAGAACAUCAUCAUCGUCACCAAGCCGUCGGGCUGACGAAACUCUCCCUCAGCACUCAGCUGGAUCGGAGUUCGAGGGACGUCAUCGGGCUGAACGUGUGCUGAACUCGGAGGUGCCGUGCGUUCGGUACUUGAUCGGUCGGAUCGUGAAGACGUACGACUACAUCAACCGCGUUGUGCUAACGCUUCCGCUUUCGGUCUACAAGGGUACGUGGACAACACUCUCCCCUCUCAUUGCUAUGCAUCACCAUGAUCUUGCGUGUGCGCAGGAAAAUUUUGAAAUUACUACAUUCCCCAACAGUGGCAUCCGAGCCUGGUUUUAUGCGUUGAUGUUAUAUGCAUGAGUAGAACACAAGUGAGUUGUGGGCGAUAUAAGUCAUACUGCUUACCAGCAUGUCAUACUUUGGUUCGGCGGUAUUGUUGGAUGAAGCGGCCCGGACCGACAUUACGCGUACGCUUACGCGAGACUGGUUCUUCCGACGUGCUUUCCACAGAGGUGGUUGGCGGGUGUCAGUUUCUCCAACUUUAGUUGAACCGAGUGUGGCUACGCCCGGUCCUUGCGAAGGUUAAAACAGCACCAACUUGACAAACUAUCGUUGUGGUUUUAAUGUGUAGGUGAGGACGGUUCUUGCUAAGCCCGUAGCAGUGACGUAAAACUUGCAACAACAAAGUAGAGGACGUCUAACUUGUUUUUGCAGGGCAUGUUGUGAUGUGAUAUGGUCAAGACAUGAUGCUAAAUUUUAUUGUAUGAGAUUAUCAUGUUUUGUAACCGAGUUAUCGGCAACUAGCAGGAGCCAUAUGGUUGUCGCUUUAUUGUAUGCAAUGCAAUCGCCCUGUAAUGCUUUACUUUAUCACUAAGCAGUAGCGAUAGUCGUAGAAGCAUAAGAUUGGCGAGACGACAAUGAUGCUACGAUGGAGAUCGAGGUGUUGCGCCGGUGACGAUGGUGAUCAUGACGGUGCUUCGGAGAUGGAGAUCACAAGCACAAGAUGAUGAUGGCCAUAUCAUAUCACUUAUAUUGAUUGCAUGUGAUGUUUAUCUUUUAUGCAUCUUAUCUUGCUUUGAUUGACGGUAGCAUUAUAAGAUGAUCCUUCACUAAAUUACCAAAGUAUAAGUGUUCUCCCUGAGUAUGCACCGUUGCCAAAGUUCUUCGUGCUGAGACACCACGUGAUGAUCGGGUGUGAUAGGCUCUACGUUCAAAUACAACGGGUGCAAAACAGUUGCACACGCGGAAUACUCAGGUUAAGCUUGACGAGCCUAGCAUAUAACAGAUAUGGCCUCGGAAAACGGAGACCGGAAGGUCGAGCGUGAAUCAUAUAGUGGAUAUGAUCAACAUAGUGAUGUUCACCAUUGGAACUACUCCAUCUCACGUGAUGAUCGGACAUGGUUUAGUUGAUAUGGAUCACGUGAUCACUUAGAAGAUUAGAGGGAUGUCUAUCUAAGUGGGAGUUCUUAAGUAAUAUGAUUAAUUGAACUUUAAUUUAUCAUGAACUUAGUCCUGGUAGUAUUAGCAUAUCUAUGUUGUAGAUCAAUAGCUCGCGUUGUUGCUUCCCUAUGUUUUAUAUAUGUUCCUAGAGAAAACUAAGUUGAAAGAUGAUAGUAGCAAUGAUGCGGACUGGGUCCGUGAUCUGAGGUUUAUCCUCAUUGCUGCACAGAAGAAUUAUGUCCUUGAUGCACCGCUAGGUGACAGACCUAUUGCAGGAGCAGAUGCAGACGUUAUGAACGUUUGGCUAGCUCAAUAUGAUGACUACUUGAUAGUUUAGUGCGCCAUGCUUAACGGCUUAGAAUCGGGACUUCAAAGACGUUUUGAACGUCAUGGACCAUAUGAGAUGUUCCAGGAGUUGAAGUUAAUAUUUCAAGCAAAUACCCGAGUUGAGAGAUAUGAAGUCUCCAACAAGUUCUAUAGCUAAAAAGAUGGAGGAGAAUAGCUCAAGCAGUGAGCAUGUGCUUAGAUUGUCUGGGUACUACAAUCGCUUGAAUCAAGUGGGAGUUAAUCUUCCAGAUAAGAUAGUGAUUGACAGAAUUCUCUAGUCACCAUCACCAAGUUAGUAGAACUUCGUGAUGAACUAUAAUAUGCAAGGGAUAACAGAAACGAUUCCCAAGCUCUUCGUGAUGCUGAAAUCGACAAAGGUAGAAAUCAAGAAAAACAUCAAGUGUUGAUGGUAGACAAGACCACUAGUUUCAAGAAAAGGGCAAAGGGAAGAAGGGGAACUUCAAGAAGAACGGCAAGCAAGUUACUGCUCAAGUGAAGAAGCCCAAGUCAGGUCCUAAGCCUGGGACUAAGUGCUUAUACUGCAAAGGGACUGGUCACUGCAAGCGGAACUGCCCCAAGUAUUUGGCGGAUAAGAAGGAUGGCAAGGUGAACAAAGGUAUAUGUGAUAUACAUGUUAUUGAUAUGUACCUUACUAAUGCUCGCAGUAGCACCUGGGUAUUUGAUACUGGUUCUGUUGCUAAUAUUUGCAACUCGAAGCAGGGGCUACGGAUUAAGCAAAGAUUGGCUAAGGACGAGGUGACGAUGCGCGUGGGAAAUGGUUCCAAAGUCGAUGUGAUCGCGGUCGGCACGCUACCUCUACAUCUACCUUCAGGAUUAGUUUUAGACCUAAAUAAUUGUUAUUUGGUGCCAGCGUUAAGCAUGAACAUUAUAUCUGGAUCUUGUUUGAUGCGAGACGGUUAUUCAUUUAAAUUAGAGAAUAAUGGUUGUUCUAUUUAUAUGAGUAAUAUCUUUUAUGGUCAUGCACCCUUGAAGAGUGGUCUAUUUUUGUUGAAUCUCGAUAGUGGUGAUACACAUAUUCAUAGUAUUGAAGCCAAAAGAUGCAGAGUUGAUAAUGAUAGUGCAACUUAUUUGUGGCACUGCCGUUUAGGUCAUAUCGGUGUAAAGCGCACGAAGAAACUCCAUACUGAUGGACUUUUGGAACCACUUGAUUAUGAAUCACUUGGUACUUGCGAACCGUGCCUCAUGGGCAAGAUGACUAAAACGCCGUUCUCCGGAACUAUGGAGAGAGCAACAGAUUUGUUGGAAAUCAUACAUACAUAUGUAUGUGGUCCGAUGAAUGUUGAGGCUCGUGGCGGAUAUCGUUAUUUUCUCACCUUCACAGGUGAUCUAAGCAGAUAUGGGUAUAUCUACUUAAUGAAACAUAAGUCUGAAACAUUUGAAAAGUUCAAAGAAUUUCAGAGUGAAGUUGAAAAUCAUCGUAACAAGAAAAAUAAAGUUUCUACGAUCUGAUCGUGGAGGAGAAUAUUUGAGUUAUGAGUUUGGUCUUCAUUUGAAACAAUGCGGAAUAGUUUCGCAACUCACGCCACCCGGAACACCACAGCGUAAUGGUGUGUCCGAACGUCGUAAUUGUACUUUACUAGAUAUGGUGCGAUCUAUGAUGUCUCUUACUGAUUUACCGCUAUCAUUUUGGGGUUAUGCUUUAGAGACGGCCGCAUUCACGUUAAAUAGGGCACCAUCAAAAUCCGUUGAGACGACGCCUUAUGAACCGUGGUUUGGCAAGAAACCAAAGUUGCCGUUUCUUAAAGUUUGGGGAUGCAAUGCUUAUGUGAAAAAGAUUCAACCUGAUAAGCUCGAACCCAAAUCGGAGAAAUGUGUCUUCAUAGGAUACCCAAAGGAGACUGUUGGGUACACCUUCUAUCACAGAUCCGAAGGCAAGAAUUUUGUUGCUAAAUUCGGAAUUUUUUUUGGAGAAGGAGUUUCUCUCGAAAGAAGUGAGUGGGAGGAAAGUAGAACUUGAUGAGGUAACUGUACCUUCUCCGGAAUUGGAAAGUAGUUCAUCACUGAAAUCAGUUCCAGUGAUGCUUACACCAAUUAGUGAGGAAGUUAAUGAUGAUGAUCAUGAACCUUCGGAUCAAGUUACUACGGAACCUCUUAGGUCAACCAGAGAAAGAUCCGCACCAGAGUGGUACGGUAAUCCUGUUCUGGAGGUUAUGUUACUAGACCAUGACGAACCUACGAACUAUGAAGAAGCGAUGGUGAGCCCAGAUUCCGCAAAAUGGCUUGAAGCCAUGAAAUCUGAGAUGGGAUCCAAGUAUGAGAACAAAGUGUGGACUUUGGUUGACUUGCCCGAUGGUCGGCAAGCAAUUGAGAAUAAAUGGAUCUUCAAGAAGAAGACUGACGCUGAUGGUAAUGUUACUGUCUAUAAAGCUUGACUUGUUGCAAAAAGUUUUCGACAAGUUCAAGGGAUUGACUAAGAUGAGACCUUCUCACCCGUAGCGAUGCUUAAGUCUGUCCGAAUCAUGUUAGCAAUUGCCGCAUUUUAUGAAAUCUGGCAAAUGGAUAAACUAAAUUGCAUUCCUUAAUGGAUUUAUUAAAGAAGAGUUGUAUAUGAUGCAACCAGAAGGUUUUGUCAAUCCUAAAGGUGCUAACAAAAUAUGCAAGCUCCAGCGAUCCAUCUAUGGACUGGUGCAAGCAUCUCGGAGUUGGAAUAUACGCUUUGAUAAGUUGAUCAAAGGAUAUAGUUUUAUACAGACUUGUGGUGAAGCCUGUAUUUACAAGAAAGUGAGUGGGAGCACUACAGCAUUUCUGAUAAGUAUAUGUGAAUGACAUAUUGUUGAUCGGAAAUAAUCUAGAAUUAUUCUGCAAAGCAUAAAGGAGUGUUUGAAAGGAGUUUUUUAAAGAAAGACCUCGGUGAAGCUGCUUACAUAUUGAGCAUCAAGAUCUAUAGAGAUAGAUCAAGACGCUUGAUAAGUUUUUUCAAUGAGUACAUACCUUGACAAGAUUUUGAAGUAGUUCAAAAUGGAACAGUCAAAGAAAGAGUUUCUUGCCUGUGUUACAAGGUGUGAAAUUGAGUAAGACUCAAAGCCCGACCACGGCAGAAGAUAGAAAGAGAAUGAAAGUCAUUCCCUAUGCCUCGGCCAUAGGUUCUAUAAAGUAUGCCAUGCUGUGUACCAGAUCUAUUGUAUACCCUACACUGAUUUUGGCAAGGGAGUACAAUAGUGAUCUAGGAGUAGAUCACUGGACAGUGGUCAAAAUUAUCCUUAGUGGAAUAAGGAUAUGUUUCUCGAUUAUGGAAGUGACAAAAGGUUCGUCGUAAAGGGUUACGUCGCUGCAAGUUUUGACACUAAUCUAGAUGACUCUAAGUCUCGGUCUAGAUACAUAUUGAAAGUGGGAGCAAUUAGCUAGAGUAGCUCCGUGCAGAGCAUUGUAGACAUAGAAAUUUGCUAAAUACUUACGGAUCUAAAUGUGACAGACCCGUUGACUAAAAUUAUCUCACAAGCAAAACAUGAUCACACCUUAGUACUCUUUGGGUGUUAAUCACAUAGCGAUGUGAACUAGAUUAUUGACUCUAGUAAACCCUUUGGGUGUUGGUCACAUGACGAUGUGAACUAUGGGUGUUAAUCACAUGGUGAUGUGAACUAUUGAUGUUAAAUCACAUGGCGAUGUGAAAUAGAUUAUUGACUCUAGUGCAAGUGGGAGACUGAAGGAAAUAUGCCCUAGAGGCAAUAAUAAAGUUAUUAUUUAUUUCCUUAUAUCAUGAUAAAUGUUUAUUAUUCAUGCUAGAAUUGUAUUAACCGGAAACAUAAUGCGUGUGUGAAUACAUAGACAAACAGAGUGUCACUAGUAUGCCUCUACUUGACUAGCUCAUUAAUUAAAGAUGGUUAUGUUUCCUAACCAUAGACAUGAGUUGUCAUUUGAUUAACGGGAUCACAUCAUUAGGAGAAUGAGGUGAUUGACUUGACCCAUUCCGUUAGCUUAGCACUUGAUCGUUUAGUAUGUUGCUAUUGCUUUCUUCAUGACUUAUACAUGUUCCUAUGACUAUGAGAUUAUGCAACUCCCGUUUACCGGAGGAACACUUUGUGUGCUACCAAACGUCACAACGUAAUUGGGUGAUUAUAAAGGUGCUCUACAGGUGUCUCCGAAGGUACUUGUUGGUUGGCGUAUUUCGAGAUUAGGAUUUGUCACUCCGAUUGUCGGAGAGGUAUCUCUGGGCCCUCUCGGUAAUGCACAUCACUUAAGCCUUGCAAGCAUUGCAACUAAUGAGUUUGUUGUGGGAUGAUGUAUUACGGAACGAGUAAAGAGACUUGCCGGUAACGAGAUUGAACUAGGUAUUGAGAUACCGACGAUCGAAUCUCGGGCAAGUAACAUAUCGAUGACAAAGGGAACAACGUAUGUUGUUAUGCGGUCUGACCGAUAAAGAUCUUCGUAGGAUAUGUGGGAGCCAAUAUGAGCAUCCAGGUUCCGCUAUUGGUUAUUGACCAGAGACGUGUCUCGGUCAUGUCUACAUAGUUCUCGAACCAGUAGGGUCCGCACGCUUAAAGUUUCGAUGACAGUUAUAUUAUGAGUUUAUAUGUAUUGAUGUACCGAAGGUUGUUCGGAGUCCCGGAUGUGAUCACGGACAUGACGAGGAGUCUCGAAAUGGUCGAGACAUGAAGAUUGAUAUAUUGGAAGCCUAUGUUUGGAUAUCGGAAGUGUUCCGGGUGAAAUCGGAAUUUUACCGGAGUACCGGGAGGUUACCGGAACCCCCCGGGGGCUUAAUGGGCCAUAGUGGGCCUUAGUGGAAGAGAGGAGAGGCGGCCAGGGCAGGUCCGCGCGCCCCUCCCCCCUAGUCCGAAUAGGACAAGGAGAGGGGGGCGGCGCCCCCCCUUUCCUUCCUCUCUCCCUCCACUUUCCCCCUCCACUCCUAGUCCAACAAGGAAAAGGGAGGGAGUCCUACUCCCGGUGGGAGUAGGACUCCUCCUGGCGCGCCCCUUCUGGCCGGUCGUACCUCUCCCCCUUGCUCCUUUAUAUACGGGGGCACCCUAGAGACACAACAAUUGAUCGUUUGAUCUUUUAGCCGUGUGCGGUGCCCCCCUCCACCAUAGUCCGCCUCGAUAAUACUGUAGCGGUGCUUAGGCGAAGCCCUGCGUCGGUAGAACAUCAUCAUCGUCACCAAGCCGUCGUGCUGACGAAACUCUCCCUCAACACUCGGCUGGAUCGGAGUUCGAGGGACGUCAUGAGGCUGAACGUGUGCUGAACUCGGAGGUGCUGUGCGUUCGGUACUUGAUCGGUCGGAUCGUGAAGACGUACGACUACAUCAACCGCGUUGUGCUAACGCUUCCGCUUUCGGUCUACAAGGGUACGUGGACAACACUCUGCCCUCUCGUUGCUAUGCAUCACCAUGAUCUUGCGUCUGCGUAGGAAAAUUUUGAAAUUACUACGUUCCCCAACAAAAAGCUCAUAGGCAUUGGAUCGGUGAUGGAGAAUUAUGCCGGAUGUGGUUCAUCAUGUAACAGUCAUAACAUAGGGUGACACAGAACUAGCUCCAAAUCAUUAAUGUAAUGUAGGCAUGUAUUCCGAAUAUAGUCAUACGUGCUUAUGGAAAAGAACUUGCAUGACAUCUUUUGUCCUACCCUCCCGUGGCAGCGGGGUCCUAGCGGAAACUAGGGGAUAUUAAGGCCUCCUUUUAAUAGAGUAGCGGACCAAAGCAUUAACACAUAGUGAAUACAUGAACUCCUCAAACUAUGGUCAUCACCGGGAGUGGUCCUGAUUAUUGUCACUUCGGGGUUGCCGGAUCAUAACACAUAGUAGGUGACUAUAGACUUGCAGGAUAGGAUCAAGAACUCACAUAUAUUCAUGAAAACAUAAUAGGUUCAGAUCUGAAAUCAUGGCACUCGGGCCCUAGUAACAAGCAUUAAGCAUAGCAAAGUCAUAGCAACAUCAAUCUCAGAACAUAGUGGAUACUAGGGAUCAAACCCUAACAAAACUAACUCGAUUACAUGAUAAAUCUCAUCCAACCCAUCACCGUCUAGCAAGCCUACGAUGGAAUUACUCAUGCAUGGCGGUGAGCAUCAUGAAAUUGGUGAUGGAGGAUGGUUGAUGAUGACGACGGCGACGGAUUCGCCUCUCCGAAGCCCCGAACGGACUCCAGAUCAGCCCUCCCGAGAGAGUUUAGGGCUUGGCGGCGGCUCCGUAUCGUAAAACGCGAUGAAUCUUUCUCUCUGAUUUUUUUCUCCCCGAACACGAAUAUAUGGAGUUGGAGUUGAGGUCGGUGGAGCUCCAGGGCCCCACGAGGCAGGGGGCGCUCCUGCGCGCCCCCACCCUCGUGGACAGAUGGUGGGCCCCCUGACCUUGAUUCUUUCGCCAAUAUUUUUAAUAUUUUCCAAAAAUAAGUUCCGUGGAGUUUCAGGUCAUUCCGAGAACUUUUGUUUCUGCACAUAAAUAACACCAUGGCAAUUCUGCUGAAAACAGCAUCAGUUCGGGUUAGUUCCAUUCAAAUCAUGCAAGUUAGAGUCCAAAACAAGGGCAAAAGUGUUUGGAAAAGUAGAUACGUUGGAGACGUAUCAUUAAUCAUAAGUGGGAUGCUUGUCCAAGGAAGGGCAGCACCCAAGCACCGGUCCACCCACAUAUCAAAUUAUCAAAGUAACGAACGCAAAUCAUAUGAGCGUGUUGAAAACUAGCUUGACGACAAUUCCCAUGUGUCCUCAGGAGCGUUUUCCUUUAUAUAAGAAUUUGUCCAGGCUUGUCCUUUGCUACAAAAAGGAUUGGGCCACCUUGCUGCACUUUAUUUACUCUCGUUACUUGUUACCGGUUGCAAAUUACCUUAUCACAAAACUAUCUGUUACCGAUAAUUUUAGUUCUUGCAGAGAAUACCUUAAUGAAAACCGCUUGUCAUUUCCUUCUAUUCCUCAUUGGGUUCGACACUCUUACUUAUAGAAAGGACUACGAUAGAGCCCCUAUACUUGUGGGUCAUCACCGGCACAUAUGGGUCGGCGCGUUGGGCGCGAUGCCGACCCAUAUCUAAAACAGGGCGGACGUCGGGCGGGCGCCCGAUCCAAAUGGACAAAAAGCGGACGAAAUCGCCGUCCGUUUGGAUCGCCCCACUGGAGUUGCUCUUAGUCCCAUUCUUGUUUGCUUCGUUUGGGUUGUAAUUGGUUAAUAAGGUGUUAUCGGCGUAGUAGAAAAAUGAUUCAUCGCGCAGAAUUGCUCCUUUAGUGCCAUUCUUGUUUGGUUCGUUUGGGUUGUAAUUGGUUAACAGGGUGUUAUCGGCGUAGUAGAAAAAUGGCUCUGCUCAAAAUCAUGUGUGGAAAGCAGAGCGAUGGUUCUCAAACAACGACAAAAAGGAGCGACGCGCCCAACCUAGCAUCCUCCCUAUCGCCCAAUGAUACGUCUCCAACGUAUCUAUAAUUUUUUAUUGUUCCAUGAUGUUAUAUUAUCAAUCUUGGAUGUUUUAUAAUCAUUUUACAUCAUUUUUUGGUACUAACCUAUUGACAUAGUGCCAAGUGCCAGUUGCUACUUUCUGCAUGUUUUUUACAUCGUAGGAAAUCAAUACCAAAUGGAGUCCAAAUGCAACGAAACUUAACGGAGAAUUUUUUUGGACCAGAAGACACCCAAUGGGUCAAGGCUCCGAGGGGAGCACAACCCACCAUGGUGCGCCAGGAGGCCCAAGCACGCCCUAGUGGGUUGUGCCCACCUCGGGUGCCCCCCGGACCACCUCUUUGCUCUAUAAAUACCCCAAUAUUCCAGAAACCCUAGGGGAGUCGACAAAAAUCAAUUCCAGCCGUCGCAGAGUCUAGAACCACCAGAUCCAAUCUAGAUACCAUCACGAAGGGAUUCACCACUUCCAUUGGUGCCUCUCCGAUGAUGCGUGAGUAGUUCUUUGUAGACCUUCGGCUCCGUAGUUAGUAGCUAGAUGGCUUCCUCUCUCUCGUUGGAUUCUCAAUACAAUGGUCUCUUGGAGAUCCAUAUGAUGUAACACUUUUUGCGAUGUGUUUGUUGGGAUCAGAUGAACUUUGAGUUUAUGAUCAGAUCUAUCUUUUUAUAUCCAUGAAAGUUAUUUGAGUUUCUUUGAUCUCUUAUAUGCAUGAUUUCUUAUAGCCUCGUAUUUCUUCUCUGAUAUUUGGGUUUUGUUUGGCCAACUUGAUCUAUUUAUCUUGCAAUGGGAAGAGGUGCUUUGUAGUGGGUCCGAUCUUACGGUGCUUGAUCCCAGUGACAGAAAGGGAAGCGACACGUAUGUAUCAUUGCUACAAAGGAUAAAACGAUGGGUCUAUCUCUACAUAGAUAGAUCUUGUCUACAUCAUGUCAUCGUUCUUAUUGCAUUACUUUGUUUCUCCAUGAACUUAAUACACUAGAUGCAUGCUGGAUAGCGGUCGAUGUGUGGAGUAAUAGUAGUAGAUGCAGGCAGGAGUCGGUCUACUAAUUUUGGACGUGAUGUCUAUGUAUUGAUCAUUGCCUGGAUAUCGUUAUGAUUAUUUGAAGUUCUAUCAAUUGCCCAACAGUAAUUUGUUCACCCACCGUUUGCUAUUUUUCUCGAGAAAUAGUCACUAGUGAAACCUACGGCCCCCGGGUCUCUUGCUCAUAUUAUUUGCCUCUGCGGUCUACUUUUCCUUUGCUUUUAUUUUCAGAUCUAUUAAACCAAAAAUACCUUGCUGCAUUUUAUUCUUAUUUAUUUUAUUUGGCGUUUGAUCUAUCAAUCUACUACAAUUUUACUCACGUUCGUUUGCCUAUCUUGAGUCACCGUUGCCCGAAAGGGUCUUCUUUCUCAUAUAUUUGCUUUGCGAUCUACUUUAUUUGCUCUUUUUAUUCAGAUCUAUUAAACCAAAAAUACAAAAAUACUUUGCUGCACUUUAUUUUAUUUGUGAUUUAUUUAUUCAAUCUAUUACAAUUUUCUCCCAUCUCCGUGCCAAUUUCUGGCGCCGUUACCCGAAAGGGAUUGAUAACCCCUUUAACACGUCGGGUUGCGAGUAGUUGUUAUUUGUGUGCAGGGGCUGUUUACGUUGUGUUGCUUGGUUCUCCUACUGGUUCGAUAACCUUGGUCUCAUCACUGAGGGAAAUACCUACCGCUCAUGUGCUGCAUCAUUCCUUCCUUUUUGGGGAAAUACCGACGUAGUUUCAAGCCGCAUCAAAAGAAAUUUCUGGCGUCGUUGCUGGGGAGGAUCUUCAACAUAUACCAGGUUCCUAAUCACAAAUCUCAUCUCCUUGCAAUUUACAUUAUUUGCCAUUUGCCUCUCAUUUUCCUCUCCCCCACUUCACAAAAAUUUGCCGUUUUACUCGCCGUCUUUUUCGUUCGCCGUUUUCUCGUCAGAUCUAUCCUUUGAUUGCAAUCAUGAGUGAUUUCGGUAUGGCACCAACAGAUGAUGGCCUAUCUCCUAAUAUUGGACGUACAAGCAAACUGGAUGCUAAAACUUUUAUCUUGGGGCAAGUGAAUGUUAUGGGAAAAGAACGUAUCCAAGAAUUUUUCAAUUGUGUGGGAAAUCUAAGUCUUGAUGAUGCUCCUAUAUUUAAAACUACUAGAUCUUAUGCGGAUGCUGUAACAUCCCAAAUUUUCAAUUUGGAAUGUUAUACAUUAGAUCAUCACUGCAUAUCAUAUUUUAUUGCAUUUUGCUUGAUCCUAGAAAUUCUACGCAACUCAAGGACCCACGGAGAGAGUUGGAGAUUUCAUUAUUUUCAUAUUCGAGUCUUUCUCGAAUUUUGAAAAGAGGAUCGUUUGAUUUUAAUUAUUUUUCUUUUUAGAUAUUUCUUUUAUAAAAAUAAAAGAUAGAGGAUAAAAUGACUUCCUCAAAAUAAAGAAAAUUGGAGAUUUAAUAUUAAAUUCAAAUAAGAUUUUUAUUUGGAGUUUUAUCGCUACUUUAUUUGAAUUAGGAAAAAUAUGCGUUUUUCAAAUUUUCAUUUUAGGCCCAAAUAAAUGUUCAACUUGUCCGGCUUAUUUUUAGAGGACGGGGAAAUUUAUUUCGGGAUUUUUGGAGUCCGUUUAGUAUUUUUUUUCUUUCUUUUUCUGCACGUCAGAAUUAUUUAAAAAAGAAGUCAAACCGACUCCGGGCCGUACCCGAGCGGGACUCCGCCCGGGGGGCCUUUAUAAGUCGCGCCGCCGAAGCCCAACCCGAGCCGCCAGCCCAACCCGCGCCGCCGCCCAAACCCUAACCCUAGCGCCGCCAGCUGCCGCCCCGCCGCCAACCCGCCGCCCCGCGCCGCCUCGCCGGAGCCACCCGCCGCCGCCGCCGUUUGCCGGAUCCGCCGGAGGUAGCCUCGCCGCCGCCGCCGGUUUUCUUCGGAAAACUGUACGGUUUUUUAGAACCACGGUUUAUUAUUAUUUUUAGAUCGUUUUUUUUUGGUUUAGUUAUAUAGCGAACACCCGUUCGUUCGUUCAUUUUAACGAACAGUUUUCACCGUUUAGCCACAGACAGCAAACGUUCGUUCGUUAGCUUGUUCGUCAGUUUUUCUUUUUCUCGGAUUUUCUGCGAUUAUUUUCGAUCGCGAUUUUUGAUCCGAUUUUCGUUCUAGUAUAACUUUUCGCUCGUUUAUCGGAAUCAGGCGAUUCAAGCGCCUAGAGUUUUGUCUCGAAGCCCUCUUUCUGUUUAAACAAGUUAAACAAGUUUUUGCUACUGUAAAAUUUGACUUUAGUCCAGAUUAGUAAAUGAAGCUUGUUUCUUUCGCCGUUUGAGUUUUGUUGCUUCGUUCGAUUUGAUUCUUUUUGCAUACCGGAGUUCUUAAGUUGAACUUUCUGGUUAGAUCUCUUAUUUGAGUUUUACCCGUGCCCUUGCUUGUUUGCUUAUUGUAUGCUUGUUGUUUGUUUGCGAUAGAAUACCCGGAGUGCAAAGCGUGCUACUACGAGUCUCUAGGUUUCGUGGAUCAUCAGCAAGGCAAGUAACACUUUGAUCAUACCUCUUUCAUACCCAGUUUUAUUGCAUUAGAUCAACCCUCAAACAUUGCAUGGUUAGGAUCUAAAUUAACAUGUGGGUAUUGGGAAGUAGUUGAGGUAGUACCUAUUACCUGUUUUAUUAUCAAACCCUGGGAGUUACUUCUACGUUGCUUAUAUUGCUAUGCUAUGCUCGUAGACGUGGUUUGGGUUUGAGAGUAUUCAUGACAGAUGUGAAUUGUUAAUUAAUGGUUCAACUUAAGGUGGCAACUUAAAUACACAUCUGGGUGGAUUGAGGCACCUGGGGAACCCAGUGAUUGCCUGUAUUUUUGGAAAUCCCGGGGUACCGUGUGAUUCUCCUAUGGACUGCCACCCAGGCUCAAAGGGAUCAUGAGAUUCUUCAUGCUAGAAACUUCCGUGUGCAGCCACAAGCUAUUAUGGGCUCUAGCAUAGUUGAUUAAGUCGUGUGAACUCUUACAGUGGUAGACUAGUAGAUGUAGGGGAUGUAGGUGGUACUGUCUACCCAUCGUAAGGUGCUAACGCUUCUGAAAGACUGUGUCUCGGUCAUCCGUUUCUCAAACAUCAUGUAGUGCGAGAAAUACAACGGAGGAGAUCGAGUCUUGUGGGAAAAAGUGCGCAAACCUCUGCAGAGUGUACAAACUAAUCAUGGUUAGCCGUGUCCCCGGUUAUGGACAUCUUGAGUAUCUGGUUCUUAGAUUAUCAUGUUGAUCUCAUCACUCUAUAUAUUAAAUUUGUUGGGUUGUUAAUGACUACUUUUAAUUGGGAUUGAGAGGGGGGUUUACCUUCUCAAUGUUUUCAACAAACUUUGUAGUUAAAUAAAAUAUAUUCCUUUGCAGUAGGGAAAAAUUGGCUUUCCGCAAAACACAUUAACCAUACAGCCUCCACCAGCCAUAUAUGCAUGUAGUGAUAGCAUUAUUCUGUUCAUUACUCUUUUGUGUUACAUUGCCAGCAUAUUCCAUGUGCUGACCCGUUUUUGGGCUGCAACGUAUCAUGUUGCAGACUUUUCAGACGACGAGUAAGGAGCCUUAGGUCGUGGUCUUUCACUCAGUGAUACCGUUGGAGUUGAUGGACUCACUUUAUCUUCCAAGCCUUCCGCUGUUAUCGUAUUAGAUGGCCUUAAGCCAUAUUUAUUGUAAUAAGUUCUCUUUUGAGACAUUCGAUGUAAUAAGUGUGUGAUUGCUAAUCUGUUAUAAAUCCUUCAAGUACUGUGCGUGUCAGCAUUACCGAUCCAGGGAUGACACUUAUGCACAUAGAUCAGACUGUUUGAGGUCUGGUCGCUACAGAUGCUAUUUCAGCACUAGUUUUGAAACUUGAAACUAAAUUUAUCCGUACGCAUCCCACUUUGCAAAGAUUGUUUUUUGAUCUUCCUAAGGCUAAAAAGUUGGCCACUCUUGUUCUUAUGAAUGAGUUUGACUAUAUCAUACGGGAAGCUAGGAAAAUCUUUGAUUUUUAUGGUAUGAAUCGUGAAAAGCCCGUGAUAGAUGAAAUUCUUUACAAUAGUGACUAUGCGUUAAGACAUUUUCUUAGGGAUAAUAAAAUCUUUGAUGAGAAUCUUAAAAAGGAAGUCCCUAUUCUAGAUGUAGUCCAACAAGUUUUCAAUAAUGUUAAUCAACAUUGCUCUUGGAUUGUUGCCGGAAACCAACGAGGUUAUGAUAAUGGGCAACUCAAUAAUGCUAAGGUUUCUAUGGAUAAUGUGUUUUAUGUUGUGUUUACAAAACCCCAUGAUGAAAACACCUCUAAUAAAAUUAAGAACAAAGAUGACAAAACUUAGAUCCUUGCUUUAUGCCUAGCUACGAGCGUAAAACUAUAGCGCUUGUUGGGAGGCAACCCAAUGAAUAAAAUUUAUUUUUGCUUUCUGUUCUUGAGUGUUAGCAUAAUUAUGCUACUGUUAUGAUUGUGUUUUUUGUGUUUUAAUUAGUGUUUGUGCCAAGUAAAACUUUAGGAUCUUCUUGGGUGAUAGUUGUUUGAUCUUGCUGAAAAACAGAAACUUUUGCGCUCAUGAAAACAAUUGUUAAAAAUCACCAGAGCAUGAUAAAAUGCCAAUUAUUUUUAAAGAAGAUUAAUAUAAAAAUUGCUCAGGUCGUCCUAAUUUUUCAGAAUUUUUGAAGUUACAGAAGUAUUCGAAAUAGUCAGAUUGCUACAAACUGUUCUGUUUUUGACAUAUUCUGUUUUCUUUGCGUUGUGUGCUUGUUUUGAUGGCUCUAUGGUUUCUUUGAUAAGUUUUUGCCAUAGAAAAGUUGGAAUAUAGUAGAUAUAAUGCAAGAACAAAUAUGAAUUGGUUUGAUACAGUACUUAUAGUAGUGAUUUUGCUUUCUUAUACUAAUGGAUCUCACUAAGGUUUUGUUGAGUUUUGUGUGAUUGAAGUUUUCAAGUUUUGGGUUAUCUUACGAUGGAUGAAGGAAUAAGGAGUAAGAAGAGCCUAAGCUUGGGGAUGCCCCGGCAUCCCAAACUAUUAUCCGAAAGAGAGCAAGCAACUAAGCUUGGGGAUGCCACGAGUGGCAUCCCCUCUUUCUUCUAACGACCAUUGGUAUUUUACUCGAAGCUAUAUUUUUAUUUGUCACAUACUAUGUGUUUUGCUUGGAGAGUUUUGUAUGAUAUGAGUCCUUGCUUGUUUUAUUUUGUGUUUUAACUCUUGAUUUCUUGCUGGACACACCUAUUUGAGAGAGCCAAAAUUAUGUCAUGACUUGUUAGAAUUGCUCUCUAUGCUUCACUUAAAUUUUUAUGAGCUAUGGACUUGCUCUAGUGCUUCACUUAUAUCUUUUUUAGCACGGUGUGCUUUAGUAUUUUUGGAGAAAUGCUCUCUUGCCUCACUUAAAUUUGUUUGAUAGUUAGUAAAAUUUUCAAGAAAUUCUCUCUUGCUUCACUUAAACUAAUUUGAGAGAAAGAAAAUUUAUGCUCAUGAUAUUCACUUAUAUUUGUUUGAGCUUAUCAAAAGCAACACAUGAAAAUUAGUUCCAAAGUGAUAGAUAUCCAAGAAGGAUAUAAUAAAAACUUUCAUGAAGAUCAUUGGACAAAAUAAACUUGAUUCUUAGUAAUAGUUUUGAGAUAUGAUGAUGUGAUAUGUGAGUCAUGUUGAUGAGUGACUAUGCUUUAAUAAGAAUAUUGGUGUUAAGGUUUGUGAUUCCCUAUGCAAGCACGAAAGUCAAUAGUCAUGCAAUGAAAUUAUAUCCUACUUGUGGUGCAUUAUUCGGUGUUAAUUAUACUUAAUGCUCGCUUAUGAGACUAUUCGUUUCUUGGUUGGUCGCUUCUCAAUCUUUUGCUAGCCUUCAUUUUGCACUAAGUAUGAUCUCUACUGGUGCAUCCAAAAACCUUUAAACCAGUUUUGCCACAUGAGUCGACUAUAUCUACCUAUAUGCAGUAUUCUUUUGCCGUUCUAAGCAAACUUGUAUGUGCCAUCUCUAAUUUUCAAAAUAAACUUCUCUUUUGUGUGUUCGUACCGCUCGCAGAGUGGUGAGGGGUGACUAAUAUUUUCCAUGCUAGAUGUGUUAUUCUCACGAUGAGUGUUUAUUCACUUGUCAUUGCACGAGAGUAAGGCAAAGGUAUUAGGGAUGCCCAGUCCCGAAAUGAAAAAUGAAUUUACUUUAUGUUGUCAAAUAAUAAAUUCCUUGGAAAGUGUUGGUAUGGACGGCAACCGUGGAUACGGCUAGCCAUGGAAAGUGAAAUUAUGGUUGAAAAAGGAAUAAACUAUAUUUUCUGUUUGGGAACCGCCUAUGAUAUAUCUAGCAUGGAAAGUGUUGGGAGCUCUAAGUCGUUUUCGUUGGUGGGAAAGACACACCUCCCAAAAUGUUUUUUAUCUAUUUUUUUGCUUUGAGCUCUAGCACCUCUACAAAUCCCUACUUCCCUCUGCGAAGGGCCUUUCUUUUACUUUAUGCAUUUUUUAUUUUUGAAUUUGAGUCUCCAUCUUCUUUUAUAAAAGCACCAACUAGGAGGCAAUAUGAUCGUACUUGAGUAUUGGGUGUAGUUAAUAUGCGAGUGUGUUUCAUGAAUGGAUCAAUGAUUGAGCAUGAUGGGCUACGGAUAACUUAUUUUAGCGUUGAUAUUUUGAAAGACAUGGUUGCUUGUUGAUAUACUUGAGUAUUUAAGUUAUCAUGUCAAAACUAGACUAUUGCUUUGAACAAUAUAAAAGUCCAAAUGUCCAUGCUAUAAAGAAAAGAAUAUGAGAUGACAUGUUAGGCAGCAUUUCACAUCAAAAAUUCUGUUUUUAUCACUUACCUACUCGAGAACGAGUAGGAGUUAAGCUUGGGGAUGCUGAUACGUCUCCAACGUAUCUAUAAUUUUUUAUUGUUCCAUGCUGUUAUAUUAUCAAUCUUGGAUGUUUUAUAAUAAUUUUAUAGUCAUUUUAUAUCAUUUUUUGGUACUAACCUAUUGACAUAGUGCCAAGUGUCAGUUGCUAUUUUCUGCAUGUUUUUUACAUCGCAGGAAAUCAAUACCAAACGGAGUCCAAGUGCAACGAAACUUCACAGAGAAUUUUUAUGGACCAGAAGACACCCAAUGGGCCAAGGCUACGCCUAGGGGGGUGCUCCGAGGGGAGCACAACCCACUAGGGUGCGCCAGGAGGCCCAGGCGCGCCCUGGUGGGUUGUGCCCACCUUGGGUGCCCCCCGGACCGCCUCUUUAUUCUAUAAAUACCCCAACAUUCCAGAAACCCUAGGGGAGUCGACAAAAAUCAAUUCCAGCCGCCGUAGAGUCUAGAACCACCAGAUCCAAUCUAGACACCAUCACGGAGGGGUUCACCACUUCCAUUGGUGCCUCUCCGAUGAUGCGUGAGUAGUUCUUUGUAGACCUUCGGGUCUGUAGUUAGUAGCUAGAUGGCUUCAUCUCUCUCGCUGAAUUCUCAAUACAAUGGUCUCUUAGAGAUCCAUAUGAUGUAACUCUUUUUACGGUGUGUUUGUUGGGAUCGGAUGAACUUUGAGUUUAUGAUCAGAUCUAUCUUUUUAUAUACAUGAAAGUUAUUUGAGUUUCUUUGAUCUCUUAUAUGCAUGGUUUCUUAUAGCCUCGUAUUUUUUCUCCGAUAUUUGGGUUUUGUUUGGCCAACUUGAUCUAUUUAUCUUGUAAUGGGAAGAGGUGCUUUGUAGUGGGUUCGAUCUUACGGUGCUUGAUCCCAGUGACAGAAAGGGAACCGACACGUAUGUAUCAUUGCUACUAAGGAUAAAACGAUGGGGGUCUAUCUCUACAUAGAUAGAUCUUGUCUACAUCAUGUCAUCGUUCUUAUUGCAUUACUCUGUUUUUCUACGUUGGGGGUUGUUUACUUUGUGUUGCUUGGGGGCUGUUUACGUUGUGUUGCUUGGUUCUCCUACUGGUUCAAUAACCUUGGUCUCGUCAUUGAGGGAAAUACUUACCGCUGUUGUGCUGCAUCAUCCCUUCCUCUUUGGGGAAAUACCGACGUAGCUUCAAGCCGCAUCACCCAACAUCCCGAUCUCUCCUCCUCCAGAACCCUUCGGCUUAAGCUCUGCCAUUGCCGUCGUAGCCAUCGACCUCACCGUUCCCCUUGGCCCAACCAUCUUCAAUAUCCACGAUCACCAUCCCACCCAAGAGGCCACACACGUAUAGUGAGAUACCCCAUCUGAGUGCUUGAUCCCAAGCGUGUCCCGAAGCUAAUGACGAAGCCUCAUGUUCCUUUCUCGUGCGGCGGCUUGAACACAUUGCUGUCGGCCAUCGGUUGCUGGAGGCUGCCUUGCAACUCUUGCUCAAGGUGUUGGGCUGCGAUGGAGCCUGAUGAUUGAGCUAUGCUAGGGGGAACACAGAAUUGAGCCGGGCUUCCACCGUAGAGGAGAUUUGUGAGUUGUGAUGAACUGAUGAAGUCUAUCGGAAUAGCCUUGGCCUUAAGAUUCUCCUCGUAGGUGAGUGUAAGUGCAUCUAGUGCCCCUUAGUGAUUUUGGUGUAUUGAAGACUUAUAGGUUAAGGGACUAAUGAGUUUGUGAGUGUACACAGGUCUAUGAGUCUAUGAGGAGUUUGAUAUUUAUGAUGAAAGUCGACCCCUAAAAAUGAAUGUCUUCAGCUGAAGACUUUGGUUUUCUUGAAGACUUUGAAAGUGAAGAAAUUGGUGUGACCAUGAAGACUUGGUAUUCAUGCGAGGAUUAUGAAGCGUGAAGACUUUUGUUUUCGUAGUUUCAUUUUCUCUUUCUUGAGUCAUAGGAAACACCAUACUGUUAAAGGGGGUCGAGGUAAAACUAAGGAAAAGUUUCCAAGUGAUGCUCAUCUCAAAAUCCUACACCUACCAAUCCUUUCGAGUGAAGCCAUUGAAAAUCUCAUACAGUUCAGCCAAUUUCUUCAGUGAUAAAGACGAAGAUCUUCUGGUCUUUGAGGAAUUUGUUCUGACUUAGGAGUUAGGAAUUCGCCAGUGCGGAUUGCCUACAAGUGAGGAACAUGAUAGCCCUGAGGAAUUUGAUACUCAAAUAUCCGACCGUUGUUGUGCUACGCGCCAGCUGUCCCAAAAUAUCUUUCCACCUAACGGUCAUAUCAUUGAAGGGCAUUUAUGUCUUAUCAUGUCGGGCUGCUCCCUAGGCUAUAAAUAGCCGCCCCUACAACCACUAGCUGGUUGGCUGCUCCGAGAGAAUCUGACACUUGUCAUUGAGAGCAUCUCAUCCUCUGAGGACUUUGAGCGAAAAUCAUCAAGUGAGGAAAACCCAAACCCAAACACCUAUAAACCCAAAGUGAUUGAGCAUCAUUGAAGAGAUUGUUCAUGUGUGGAACCGACGCUUGUUGCCUUUCAGGACUGUGCAUCCUCCAGACGGUUAGGCGUCAUGGUCUAGAGCAUCCAAGAGGAAAUUGUGGAUCGCCGAGUGACCGAGUCUGUGAAGGUUUGGAAGUCACCUGAAGACUUACCACGAGUGAUUGGGCGAGGUCUGUGUGAUCUUAGCUCAAGGAGAAUACGGUGAGGACUGUGUGUCCGGGACUGUGUGUCCUCAAGUUUACAUACCUAGCCGCUCCAACCAGACGUACAACUGUCACAACAGUUGGAACUGGUCUACCAAAUCACUGUCUUCACCGAGCUACUGGUUCUAUUUCCUCAACCCUUUCAUUUCCUCAUUCAUACGCUGUUGUACUUGAUCGUUGCUGUUUGAAGACUUUGACUGAAUACUUUCUCAAUUUCCCCUAUCCUAUUUCUUUAGUUAGUUUGUCUUCAGCCUGCUUAUCCUGUGUUUAUGCUACUUGUACUCUGUGCUUGUUUUCAUUUCAUCAUGAUGACUAUGCCACUGCUCUGUUAUGUUUACAUCUGAGUACUUAUUUCGGUGCUAAGUAGUUCGUUGCUUAGGAAUUUCCUCUCCUUGAAAUCCCUCAGUGACGAAUUUGUAAAAAUCGCCUAUUCACCCCCCUCUAGUCGAUAUAACGCGCUUUCAGUGAGGACCUGCAGGCAGGCCUCAUCAAGCUCGUAAGCUUUCUCGGCCAGCCGGUUCUAGUCCAGAGCCAAUUUUACCGCUUACCUUAUUAUAUUGUUCCGAGCCUGAUCGCGACGCGGGUUGCCAAGCUCUGUGUCCAUCACUUCAAGAUCAUGCUCGCCGAAGUUGCUUGACGAUCGAGGUUCGCGUGGUGGGGUGUGUAUUCGGACCGUCUUCGGUGUCAUUCCCUGAGCUUUUUGCUUGUGUGAUUUGUGUCCACUAUGUAGCACUCAUGAACAAAGGUUGCCAGCCACGGGUGUAAGGGCACCGUACGUGGAUGGCGGUUAGCUGUCUGCGGGCUCAUCGUUCUCCUCCUCCAUGUCUUCUGCUUCCUCGGUGGCGUCCUCAAGGAUGCCGGCGAGGUCUUCGAUAUCCGUGAUUAGAUGGGCGAUGGGUGGGUAAAAAAAUGACUUCUUCCUGGAUCCGAUCUGACAUCGAGUCCAGGAGAACCAACUCUGGAUCUUGCAUGACGCCAAACUUUGGAGGAUCAGCUCUCUGUGGGGAUCCGCGGAGUACUCUAGGUUGCCGAAUCUGACGACCCGACCGGGAGCAAAACUCUUGACCUAGCCGAGGUGGCCAGUCGAGUCGGCUCAUGGCGGCAUCGAAGGCGAACAUCUAGCCUGGCGCAUAGAUCGCGCCAUAUCUUAUCUGGACUGCCAUCGAGACUCUGAGUUCACCUAGCAUGACCUGCAUGAGCCACCAGUGUCGGAGCUAAUUCUGUCAGAUCCCUCGAUAGGGUAUCCUAGCUAGGCGAUUGGGUUGGAUGGUAAAGCGAGACAAGGUUUCACCCAGGUUUUGACUCUCGUGGUGGAGAUAAUACCCUACUCUUACUUGUGUAUAUUGUGAUUGGGGUGUGUACAAAAUACAGGUGAAAUACCAAGGGAUUGUCUGGUGAUCUACCGACGAGCCCGACCCCAGGCUUAUAUAACAUACCGGGGGUUCUAGGGCUAAAGAUCCUAGUCGACCACGUUAGUGGAGGUAGAGUCCUCCAUGGCUCCGGGAUCUUUAGCUUGUAUGCCAAGACUUCGAGAGUCUUCGUAUAAUGCGUCAUGGGUCACCCAAAGUAGCCUAGGACGGAUCCGACCAAGGGGGUUCCUCAACCUAGCUCACCAAGAUGGGAAUCGACAUGGUGAGAGACCCCUGGGCUGGGACACUAUCAACGUUUAUCCAAAUAUAUGAUACUUGUCGUGUUUGAUAGACCAAAGUAAAUUUUAGCUUGUGGAUGUGCCUAGGCUUUGGCAAUUCGCUAGCUUCGCCAUUAGAAUUGGACAUUGGAGUUUUUCAAGGAAAUGGGAAGAGUUGGUGGAGCAAUACAACACUUUCCUCUGCUAAUUAAACCAUCAUACCUAUAGUCACACCAAAUAAAGGAGAUUUAGACCGAGUUUUCAGGCGCAAUGAAGUAUCCACUACCUCAACAUUUACCAUACCACAAAAUUACAUAGUGUUUUGCAAUAAUACUAAAUCAAACAGAGAUCCCACGAUUGUGGCAUGAAUUAUCUUUUGCAUAUUGUAAAGACUACAUUAUGUGUAAGCCAUAAGUCAUAGUUGUGUGCAGACUUGACAACACACUCUCAUGAGAUGCCAAGAUUGAAAAGCGUAGGAACCAAAAGUGAAUAAACUGGAAAGAAUAUAGAAAUAGGAAUUCAACAAAAAAGGCCGACAAUGAUGACGCCAUUCACCCCUGCGUGCCUAAUGUGUAGAGGAGGAGAGCCUUACAUGUGUUUUUAACACAAUACAAUCACAGAUGCUCAUACACACGCACAUGCACUCAUCCCUAUGAAAGCGCGCAUGUACGCACACCCUAUCACUAUGAAUACUUCCGAGAUAUUGAGCUGGCACAAUAUCUUGAGAUUGACGAAGUCAUCAUAGGUGCCUCGUAGUCGACGAAAAUGUCUCGUGCCACCGAACAAACAAUGCCGGAAAGCCUGAAAUAAAUCCAGAAAAAUGCGAGCAUCACUACCAAUUCUAGGGAUUGAAUCCUGGUAGGUUGGUUCCAUCACAAGGAACAUAUGCAUAUGAGUUAAGCUCAGUUCGCAGCCUCACAGGUGUUGAAGCCAUUUGCUGUGCACAUGUAUGACUGCGACCUUGACAUGAAGAAAUGUGAUAGGUAGUAGGAGAGUCUUAGGAGGAUGAGGUCGAUGGCGUGCUCCCAACCAGCAGGUGAAGAGGAAUGGAUGAGGUUAUAUUCGGGGAAGGGUGCAACAAUGAAGAUGGAGAAGAGGAAUGGGUUUAUAAUUAAACAACAAAGUAGUGGGAUGAGAUCGGACUGAAAGCCGGAAGGGCAAGCGAAGUCACUACCGCAUGAUUGUGGAGAAAACUACCACCAGGGAAAUGGAAAGUGCAAGAUGAAUAGUUAGAGGUAGCAUUAAGACUGCAUGAAGCAAUAACUGAUUGGCAGUGAAUUGAUGUUGAUGUGGCUUCACUGUAGGAUAUUGAAAGGCAAUGAAAAUGCAUGAAGUAGUAGCUGAGAGGAAGUGAGCUGCUGGCUUGGGGAGAAAACACGAUGAUGUGGCUUUCCGCAGCGCAGAAAAGUCUGGCAGUAUUUGAGUUGUUGAUGUGGUAGGCUACCGAGGUGGAUAGGCUGCAUGUUAAGAUAAAUAUGAUAGUGGGAUUCACUCUCUUAGGUAUAUAUGGUUAGUUCACCUGAUAGUGAUAUAGAGACCGUCCUGAUCUAGCUUGGUUGUUGUUUUCUUCAAUGCGAGUCAUAUAUGCAUUUAUCUUGUCAUCUGCGGUAACCUAUGACAUUAAACUUUCGAAAGGGAUAGUACCCUCACAUGUUAUGUUUUUCUACAAGCAUAAUAUGUGAAUUAGGUGGAAGUUUAGUGAAUCCAUAGUAUUUUAGCUUUUAACGAGAAUUAAUAUCAGUUAAAAUCAUCUGAUGCCCACACAAUCAAGUACUCAUACGAUCUGAAGAAUUGGGUCAAUGCCAACAAAAUGCAAAAAUAUAUAAUUGUUGGAUUCUACCAUUAUGCUUGACUAAAUUUUAAUAAAUUAUAAGCUCCCCACCUACACUUGUGAGUAAUCGUGCACCGAAAAAAUGCCCUGAGCUCAGGUAUGUAAUACACUAAUCAACUCCUUACUGCCGUGGGUAUGCAUACCACAAUUCAUAGACUUAUUGGACGAAAAUAAUCUGCCUCUUCCGGUGAUAUUUUCCUUUGUGUCGAGUGCAUAUCCUGUGCUCCCAUUCCUAAAAUGCUCCCAUGCUAUCUUCCAAAGGGUACAUUUUAACAUUUUUAAAAAAGGUGCAGGUUCGUAAGACAUGUGUCCACAUUUGACAUUCCCUAAAAAUUUCAAAGCUAAUUCGAAAUACACACAGAGAAGAUAAUUUUUCGGAACAUUCAAAUUUAUUUUUAAGUUUGGAGCACGGGAACAUUUAAGCCGUGAGAGCACUCUCUCUUGCAUUUGUGCACCUGAGAAAUGUUUUCUUAGCAUUUUGUUUUUUGAGCUGGAAGUGUUUUGUUAGCAUAAAACCAUCUUCCCACAAAGAGAGAGAGAGCGCAUAUAAACCAUCUUGGACAUGUGUGGUCGUUGGGCCCAUAAUUAUUGGCUCUGCAACGUCACAGGAUCAGCCCAGCCCCACUUCUUCGAGGCGAACCAUAUCCAUUCACGUGACUAAUUAAAAGAAACCCCUAAAAAAGUCUAAUUAAAAGGAUAUUUAUUCGAAAAUAGAGAUCUUCUUGGAGGAAAAUUAAAAAGAGAUACUAUAUUUGAUUUUAAACAAGAAGGACAUUUCCUUCACGGCCAAGGCGGACGUAGGCGCUACGAAACGCGAGCCCACAGGGAGUCACCAGCAACCGCACGAUCGGGAUCGAACGCGCGAGGCGUAACCGCCAUCGCAGCCGCCCGUCCGACGAUCCAGAGGCCGCAGAUAAAACCCUAGGCACCCGUCAUCCCACCCCAUCCCAUCCUUCUCCCCUCCCCCCGCCGCGUCUUCGACUCCAUCGCCUCCUCCUCCCCCUCGUUGUCUCCGGCCAGCCAGGUACCCGUCCUCGCCGCCGGCCUGCCCUUCCGCCGUCGGUGAUUAUUUCCCUCGCUCGUAUGCCGUCGCAUGCCUAGCUGGGUCGAUCGCGCGAUGUGAUAGAUGGAUAGAUCUGCUCGAUUCGAUCCGCCUUUGCGCCCUGUUUGGUUUGAUUUCGAGGCUGUCGCAUGAAGUGCCUGUAUUGGUUCUAGACUAGUUUUGCGAGUCCUUACUGUCGCAUGAUGAACUUGGUUAUUUCUCUCGCCCGUAUGCCGUCGCAUCUCUGGCUCGACCGCGCGCUGUGAUAGAUCUAUCGAUCUGCUCGGUUUCGUAUUUAUAAGCAUGUCGCCUUAGCUUGAGUACCUAGAUCUGCUCGAUUCGAUUCGCCUUUGCGCCCUGCUUGGUUUGAUUUCGAGCCUGUCGCAUGAACUGGUUGUUUUGGUCUCUGUAUGCAUGUCUCUUGGGCUAAGCUAGUUUUGCGAGUCCUUACUGAAUUAACACUAUCCUCUGCAAGUUAAUUCCUCUGGUUUAGAGAGAUGCAUAAUAUGAUCUGGUAUUGUCAGCAAAUUGGAGAUGCAAAAAGUGCCCAUCGUCUAAUGGUAAAGACUGAGGGCCUCCUUGCGGGGCCUUCUCAUGUAGGUUCGAAUCCUAUUGGGUGCUUCUGCAGACGACCCCCUGCAUCUCCAAUUUGCUCUGGCCCUGAAUUACCAUGUUAAGUAUUUGCCUUGCCUGCUAAUCUUGCCCUUCCAGAUUAGAUCAUGCUUGGCUACUUGACAAGGUAUUCUGGUCUUUAGGUUUACCUUAUUCCUGUUAAGAAUCAGUUGGAUGUAGAUCUAAUUUUACCUGUUAGUCAGAUUUAGUUUUGGUUCUGUCUCAACUUGUAUGGGACUAAAGGCUUUGUUGUUGUUGUUGUAGUAUUAGUCAGAUUUAGUUUUGCAUGCCUUAUCUGAUGAAUUUGAAUAAUUGCAGUGUUAUUUCUUUCCAGUGUUUGGAACAAAUUGGGGAUUUAGUUUUGCAUGCCUUGUUUGGGACUAAAAGUCUGUGGAAUUGUUGUUUCAAGUCUGGCCCUGCUUGCCUGUCAACUGUUGCCUGAUAAUUUGUAUAAUCACCAUUGUUUUAUGAUUUAAUUUUGUUAUUCUUCCAAAUUAUCACCAUCGUUCAAUCAUUUGCUUAAGUUUAAACUGUAGUGUUGAAUUAUCUGAACUCGUUUCACCACCCCUAAUUUGGUCUAUGCAGGUAGUCCUCCAUGGGCAAGGAGAAGAUCCACAUCAGCAUUGUGGUCAUUGGCCAUGUCGACUCUGGCAAGUCAACCACGACUGGCCACCUCAUCUACAAGCUUGGAGGCAUUGACAAGCGUGUGAUCGAGAGGUUCGAGAAGGAAGCCGCUGAGAUGAACAAGAGGUCUUUCAAGUACGCCUGGGUGCUUGACAAGCUCAAGGCUGAGCGUGAGAGGGGUAUCACCAUUGAUAUCGCUCUGUGGAAGUUCGAGACCACCAAGUACUCGUGCACUGUCAUUGAUGCUCCUGGUCACCGUGAUUUCAUCAAGAACAUGAUCACUGGGACCUCCCAGGCUGACUGUGCUGUGCUUAUCAUUGACUCCACCACUGGUGGUUUUGAGGCUGGUAUCUCCAAGGAUGGCCAGACCCGUGAGCACGCUCUCCUUGCUUUCACUCUUGGUGUGAAGCAGAUGAUCUGCUGCUGCAACAAGGUAUACUUCUAUUCAACUUUCAAUGGCCAUUUUUAUGAGUGACCAUUUGAUUUGUUUACCAUUUUGCUAUCAAUUUGAUAAGGCUCAGUAUUACUUAUUCAAUGUCAAUGUUUAUUAGUACAGAGAACAUUCUGUAAACUGCUUGACAUCCUUUUGCUAUCCACUUGAUGUUAAGGUUGUCAAUGUUCAAUAUUACAGAAACAUCCUGUAAACUGGUUUGACAUCUUUGCUAUCCACUUGAUGCGAGACUCAGAAUUACUUAAUGUCAAUGUUCAUUAGUACAGAAAUUUCCUGUAAACUGAUUGACAUCUGUCUCAUUCUAGUAGUAAGUGUUGACCAAUAUCUUUUUUCUUAAUUUAGAAAUGUACCGUGUUGCUAAAUGUUUGUUGUUUUAGGGUUCAGAACUAUUUAUUAAAUGUCCAGGUUCAGUUGAUGAACUUCUGUUCAUGUUGAUAUUGUCGUGUAAGUUAACCCAGUAGUUCUAAUCAUAUGUUACUGACUUUGAUAUAUCUUAAUUGAUAAGUGCAACUGUUUGUUUUUUCGUGAUCUCUUAUUCUGUGCAACUUCCAUCAGUACUUGUAUAUACAUUUAUGCUGUUUCUCAUUUUUGUGUUUAUCUGAUGUGAUUGCUCUUAUGAUCUGUUCCAGAUGGAUGCCACCACUCCCAAGUACUCGAAGGCCCGUUAUGAAGAAAUUGUCAAGGAAGUCUCUUCAUACCUGAAGAAGGUCGGUUACAACCCUGACAAGGUUCCCUUCGUUCCCAUCUCUGGGUUCGAGGGCGACAACAUGAUUGAGAGGUCCACCAACCUUGACUGGUACAAGGGCCCCACCCUUCUUGAGGCCCUGGACCAGAUCAAUGAGCCCAAGAGGCCCUCCGACAAGCCCCUGCGUCUUCCCCUUCAGGAUGUGUACAAGAUUGGCGGCAUUGGAACUGUGCCAGUGGGGCGUGUUGAGACUGGAGUCAUCAAGCCAGGCAUGGUUGUCACCUUUGGUCCUACUGGCCUGACCACUGAGGUGAAGUCCGUUGAGAUGCACCAUGAGUCUCUCCUGGAGGCUCUUCCUGGUGACAAUGUCGGCUUCAACGUCAAGAAUGUGGCUGUCAAGGAUCUCAAGCGAGGGUACGUCGCUUCCAACUCCAAGGACGACCCUGCCAAGGAGGCUGCCAACUUCACCGCCCAGGUCAUCAUCAUGAACCACCCUGGCCAGAUCAGCAACGGCUAUGCCCCGGUGCUGGACUGCCACACGUCCCACAUCGCUGUCAAGUUUGCUGAGAUCCAGACCAAGAUCGACCGGCGGUCUGGCAAGGAGAUUGAGGCGGCGCCCAAGUUCCUCAAGAACGGUGAUGCCGGGUUCGUCAAGAUGAUCCCCACCAAGCCCAUGGUGGUGGAGACCUUCGCCCAGUACCCUCCCCUGGGCCGCUUUGCUGUGCGCGACAUGAGGCAGACGGUUGCCGUGGGCGUUAUCAAGGCCGUGGAGAAGAAGGAUCCGACCGGCGCCAAGGUGACCAAGGCUGCGGCCAAGAAGAAAUG
rnacentral:lncRNA from 1 species